UAUAUUAUAUAAACAUCCAAUAAUUCAUAUAAAUAUAUUUAAAUGUAUAUGUAAGUUUUAGUCAACAAUUUAAUUUAAUAGAUUUUUAUUUUAAAUAUAAUUAUAAAAAAAUUGAAAUGAUUGAGAUAAAAAUUUAAAAAUUCUUGUAAAAUAUUAAAAGUUGUACUAAUCAAUACAUGCUGGUACACACUAGUAAAUAGUAGUGGAACUUGAAAUUUUUGUUUGGGAGGCAAUAAUUAAAUUGUAUAUUUUUACGAUUGUAAAAAUACAAUUUUAUCAUUUUAAUGGUCUAUUUAAAGGGUUAAAUUAAAAUUUUAUCAUUUUUGAAGGGCCAAAAUAAAAUUUUACCAUUACUAAUUUAAAAUUUUUUAAAUUAUGAAAGGCCUAAACUAAAAAUUUACCAUUGUUGAAACACACUGAUAUAAUCAAAAUGCACCAAAAUUUUGAUAAAAAAAAGUGCAUAAAUUAUUUGGUACCAAUUUAAGACCGGAACAAUACAUACGGAUCUAUACAAUCGGCACUCAUUUCUUGAACCAUAUAAACUCAUUUCACAAUUUACAUAGGAUGAUAUAUAAGAAAACUUGCCAAAGGGACAUGAUUGGAAUGCAUGAAUUCCUUUAGAAAGGAUAUCUUUAAACAUAAAAUUGACAAUUUAUCGUAUUUUAUUAUCAUAUUUUCCCUUCGAGUUUUCAUUUUUUCUUGAUAUGGAUACACGAAAUAUGAUAUGAAUACACCAAUUAUCCAUCCACAACCAAUAAGAAGAUUGUAUUUUAUUGUAUUUUUACAUUAUUUAUAAUAAAUCCACCAAUUUCUUAGUUGCCAUUUUCUUCUUGCCAUCCACUGAAAGCUUGCUGCAACAUUGAAACAAGGAAGAAUAAGUGAAUAUUAUAAAUAUGGUACUCGGACUCCCGAUGAGUGUCGAAUAUGGACAUAUGAACACACGGAUAUUGGAGGAUUGUAUCCGUUAUCCAUAUUUGAGUGUGUUAGACACAAGUGGUUUAGAGAAAAAUAAAGAAUCGAAAUAACAUAGACCGUUGUAUCCCUACACUCGUAUACGAAGAUGAGUCGGAUAUAAGUGUUUUGAUGAAAAUGAAGAGUCGGAAUAACAGGAAAACGCGGAUGAUCACCUGAAAGCAUGACAAAGUGUACUGCACAUCACUUGAUGAAAUUUGGUGGUGAAGAACAAUUCUCAUCCUGAAUGACAAAAAAGAGUGACCAUCAUUAGUCUAGUAACCCGAAUUUUAUGUUCUCUAAUGUGUCCGUAUUUAAGAUUAACCACAUGUAAAUUGAUCGUGUACCGAUAUCUGACACUUAUCUUUUGAGUCCAAGAAACAUAGACCCAAUUCCAGGAAGGGCAUAUAUACAUACAUCCUGUAAUUCUUUAUUCUUCUACAUUCGUCGAAAUAAGACAGACUUACUUGGUUUGAGUUAUGCAUUCAAGUUAAAACGAACCAGGAUAAAUCGAAAAGCAACAUCCUGGGUGAAUUUAAUGGAAUACACUGACCUGGAUGGACCCUCAAGCAUCACAAAUACACCGCGUUCCACUAAAUGCUUGUAUAGUUUCUCCCCCGAGAUUUUUGAUCCCUCCACUAUGUCGAAAAAUAUCUGGUAUCGUACAAGUAAUUAGAAGAUUAUCAGCUUGGUAACCCGUUAAGAACUUGAUGAACAGAACCACAAUUCGAAUAUUGGUUUUAUAACUAGUAUACUCACAAUAUUAGUUUCCACUGCAGCAACAUUCACUCUUAGACCUUUAAUUUGAUUUAGUCCCUCUGAAACCAUAAAAACCAGAGCAUAAAGUCGAAUUUUAUAGGUAAGCUCAAGAACAAGCACCCGAUCAGAAAGCUAUGACUGUUCUUCUUGACUGUAAAGUUCAAUGUACAUAAUCAAGUAAACUGAUAGUUUUACCUGCUAACACCUUUGCGUUCUUGUGAUCACCUUCAAACUUUACCAGAUUCUCUUGCAAAGCAACCAACGCAGCAGCACAAAUGACACCGACCUGUCUCAUCCCACCCCCUAGGGUUUUCCGAAGUCUUCUAGCCUAAAAAAGCAAGAAAACGGAUUUUAACAUAAAUUUUCAUAGAUUGCGGAGAUUUUUAGCUGCAGAACUUCGAUUUUACCUUGGUAAUAAAGGUUUCGGAACCAACAAUGACUGAUCCAACCGGAGCACCAAUACCUUUCGAUAGACAUACCUACCACCAAAUUGCAAGAUGAGAUAAAUAGUCUAAAGCUAUCAUCUACAGGUCAAGCUGAAAUAACUAACAAUGUUGACACAAAGAGCAUACCGAGACUGAAUCAGCAGCUUGUACAAGCCUAUCAACAGGAAUUCCGAGUGCCUAGCAGACGAACCCUUCCAUUAGUACAUUUGUUUUAAUUAUUUUCAAUUAAAAGUUCUCAAAGUUACCCACCACAGAUGCAUUGAAAAUACGAGCCCCAUCGAUGUGAAGCUUCAAACCAUGCUUCUUAGCUAGCUCACCAACUCUGUCUAUGUACUCCACAGGUAAGCAUCGACCCCCGGUGCUGCAUUAUGUAGAAGAAAACUUAACCAUAUUACAACCAACGAGCAAUAAAACCGAGAGGAAGUAAUUGAAAAGGGAGAAACGAAUCUUUUAAGAACUUAAACUGACAUUAGUUUCUUCCGAUAACACUAACUAUGCAAAAACCGUAGCAGUCAUGAGAAACGUAAAAGGAACUUAUAAUGCAUAUAUUCAAAAACCAUCCCCGAGUCUCCCUCAUCCAAUAAAACAUACUAAAACAAAAUGGUUUAAGUGCAUAUCACAAUGAUUUCUUACUUCCCGUGUGAAUUCUCCAGGCAAAUCAGUCUUGUAGUCGGGUACACAAGCUCUCCUCUUGGGUCUCUAAUGGCAUCUUCGAUCAAAUCGAUGUCCAUCAUUCCAUCUUCAUUGUUCUUCACUGGCCUCGGAUGUACACCUCCGAUUGUCGCUAUCCCACCGUUCUCAUAGAUAUGUAUAUGGGAAUUGUUUCCGAGAAUGACUUCACUUCCCCUUACAUCACAAUGAACCAAAACACUAAUUAAGUUACCCAUGGUGCCUGACGGGACAAAUAGACCGGCUUCCUUGCCCAUCAUCUUCGCCACUUCUGAUUGUAACUUAACGGCGGUUGGAUCAGCUCCGAAGACAUCAUCAUCAACUUCGGCAGUAGCCAUUGCAGCCCUCAUUGCUUCAGUCGGUUUAGUGACUGUAUCAGAUCGAAGAUCAACUGUUCUCGUCGCCAUUUUCACUGAAAUCAAUCCCGGGAGAAAAAAUCAGUUCAAAACAAUCUAAUACUCAUCUCUCCAAACUGAUUAAGAAGAAGCAAAAUCGAUCCUUAACCCUAUACUCGUAGAAUUUAUCCAAAAACUACAAUUCUUUUCUUUCCACCGAAGCUAUACUCGAAACCGUUUUAACUAGGAAUUUCAUAGUUCAUACCACGCCAAUUUCCAAUAACUCGAAGAUACUGUUACGGAAUUCGAACCCAAAAACCCUAUUCGAUAUCAUCUCUUAAGUCCUAAUUUCAUGAAAGAAUCCAUUAAAGAAUAUGAACAAGCAUUCAUGUACUAAUGGCGCAUAUAAAAAAGUUAAAAGAGAGAAAGAUUAAAGUCCAUAUUUUACCUGUUUCAAGCUCUUCUUUUUGUUUGCCUUAAAAAACCCAGAAAAACCCAAAAUUUUCUCUCUGGUUUUUUUCCCAGAAAACUCAANNNNNNNNNNNNNNNNNNNNNNNNNNNNNNNNNNNNNNNNNNNNNNNNNNNNNNNNNNNNNNNNNNNNNNNNNNNNNNNNNNNNNNNNNNNNNNNNNNNNNNNNNNNNNNNNNNNNNNNNNNNNNNNNNNNNNNNNNNNNNNNNNNNNNNNNNNNNNNNNNNNNNNNNNNNNNNNNNNNNNNNNNNNNNNNNNNNNNNNNNNNNNNNNNNNNNNNNNNNNNNNNNNNNNNNNNNNNNNNNNNNNNNNNNNNNNNNNNNNNNNNNNNNNNNNNNNNNNNNNNNNNNNNNNNNNNNNNNNNNNNNNNNNNNNNNNNNNNNNNNNNNNNNNNNNNNNNNNNNNNNNNNNNNNNNNNNNNNNNNNNNNNNNNNNNNNNNNNNNNNNNNNNNNNNNNNNNNNNNNNNNNNNNNNNNNNNNNNNNNNNNNNNNNNNNNNNNNNNNNNNNNNNNNNNNNNNNNNNNNNNNNNNNNNNNNNNNNNNNNNNNNNNNNNNNNNNNNNNNNGGGCACCUUUAAAAGAGAAUUCACACUGAGCAAGUCCAUAGGUCAUGGGUAUGAACUGCCUCGACUUAUAUUGCCUUAAUGCAAGUAAUAGAGUAUACCCGAUAGCACCCAAUCAAAGUUUCCACAUCGAUACAGGAUCUCAUCAGGAACCAUCCAAAAUGCUCUCCAUUCUAUAUCCCCCUCUUUGAGGUUUUGAAGAAUUUCCAUCCACUUUUCUUCUGAGAUAUCCUCUCUCCUUUAUAUGGCUGCUUUCUCUUUUAACGGGAAAUAAGUUUCAGAAAAGACCCAAUAAGAGACCUUAUCCAUGUGACAGCCCUAAAUUGACACUAGUCAAAAAGUGGUUUCGGGACCACAAAACCGAGUCAUAAAAAUAAUUAACUGUUAUUUUCUAUGCUUAUUGUGCAUGAACAUGCAUGUGUGAAAAUUUCAAUCUUUAAUUUGUUCAUUUGAAUGUAAAUUUAUUUAAUAGGACUUAUAUGAGACAAUUGUGAAAUGUGAUAGGUAAUUUUAAAAGUGGUCCAUUAAUGCAUGUAUUCAAAAAUUGUGGACUUGCAUGCCAAAAUACCCUUUUUGGGAUAGUGGCCGGCCAUGAUAUUGAUUAAUAAUAAUAUGUAUUUUUCUAUCAACAGUUUUAGUUUACAAAAUGUAUUAUUGAAUAAAGAUUAAUAAAAUAUUGGGUGAGUGGGAGGAGAAACCAAAGUUGGUUCAUCCUCACUCCACCAUUGCCGUAACUUGAGGUGAGGAAGAAGAAAAAUUCUUUAUUUGAUUUUCUGCUUGGAGGAUAUUUAGAAAGAGGUAAGUACUUUGAAAUUCUUGAAAAUUUAUGUAUAAUUUAGGUGAUUUGUUCAAAUUCUAUUCAUUCCAUGGGUUAAAUUUUUGGUUGUUUGGAGGUUUGAUAUUCGGCCAAGUAGUUUGAAACUCUUGGUAGAUAUUUUUCUUUAUGUCAUUAAAUGGGAUGGUAUAUUAGGAUAUGAUGAGUGAUAAAUUGUUGUUAACUUGAAGCUUGAGAUUAGUGUAUGUUUAGAGGGAGGUGCCGAAUGUUUUAAUGAAUAAAAUGUAUAUUUGAGGUUAUAACAUUUGGUUAAGUAAUAUGGGUGCUAGCAAAUUUGGUAUAUUGUAUAGUUGUUAAUUGCCUUGUAUUAGAUGCUUUUUGAAGGAUAGUAAAUGGCUAAUUAAGAUGUUGUUGGGAAAUUUUAGUUUAGUUAUGUUAAAGCAUUCGGUUUUUCUUAUAAUAAUGGUAUAAGAUUAGAAAUUAUAGUAAGUAAGUUGUGAUCCUAUAGGAGCAAGAUAGAAUCGGUUAUUUAGGUAAUGGAGUGAAUCGGUCAUUGUGUGGCAUAGAUAAAACCAAUAUGAAAUUGCUACUUUGAUCAUGGAAUGAAAAUCUUUAUAUAGAAGUCAAGUUUGUUUGAUUAGGGCCGAAUGGGGUUUAUAAGUUAAUGACAUGUUAAAUAUUUAUUUAUGUGAAUCCGAGGUUGUGCAUAAGACUAGUAAUCGAUUCAAUUGUGAUAGUCACACAUAGGUAUAGAUAUACGAAUGCCUUGUGUAUGUACCUUGAGACGUAAAGGCAUUUGGAUACAUACAGUUAAAUUCGUGUAUAUAAAGCAUGGUAAGUUAUGUGAAUUUUUGUUUGUGUAUGCGAAAUAUAUGUCGCUGUAAUAGGCAUAAUAUAAUAACAAUAAUCGUAGCAUAUUCUAUAAAAUAUAUUAUGUUUUGAAGUUAUAUGAUUGUUUAUUGUGACUACUAAACUAAGAAGUAAAGGCGAGUAAAUAAUUUAAAUAAAUCUAUUUGUUUUAAUUAAGCUCAAGACCAAAAGGGGUCUAAAAGGGGAAAGGAGAAAGCAGUCGAGUAGAUUAUCCGCAACUGUUCAAAGUAUCAGAGGUAAGUUUUAAGUAGUCACCUUUGAAAUAUAUAAUUGAUGAUGUCUUAGUAUGAAUACAUUAGUUGAAUCGUAAUCUUUGGUCCUACUUGAAGUAAAUUAUGUGAUAAAUGAUUUAUGUGUAUGCCAUAUAGAUGAGUGGUCACUAUAAGUUAAGAUUAAAUGGUGAUAUGGUUAUAUAUAUGUAUAUAUUAUUAACUAUGUGGGAUUUUGGAACCGAAAUGAAAAUGGUCAUAUUCAUAUGGAGCUUGUACUUGAAUGUAGUAAAUGACUGCUAAUGUAGUAAGUUGAAUGGGAUGUGUGAGUAUAUGAUUAAAUAGGCUUAAUGCUGGUAUUAUAUCCGGGUUAAGUCCUGCAGGCUUAAUGCUGGUAUUAUAUCCGGGUUAAAUCCCGCAGGCUUAAUGCUGGUAUUAUAUCCGGGUUAAGUCCCGCAGGCUUAAUGCUGGUAUUAUAUUCGGGUUUAUAGUUCCCCAGGCUUUAUGCUAGUAAUUGGAUUCGGGUUUUGAAACCUAGCAGGCUUAACACCGGUGAUUCGAGUGAGAUUUCAGUUUGAAUGUUCGAAGUAAACUAUUUUGGAUUGCAUAUGAUACAUGAUAAUACCCAGGUAUGUAGUAAGUAACUAUAUGUGAAUCGAUUUCAAGGGGAGAUGUUGGUAUCAAAUAACAAUAUAAUUGUGUGGAUGAUUAUUAUAUCUACGAAUAAGGGGAUGACCUACUCGGUCGAUGUCUGUCAUUGUAUGAAAAUAUGUGAAUUAAAUUAGUAGUUUACUUGUGUAUAUUUGGCCGAGAGAUUGUAUUCUGAAUAUAAGUUUUGUGACAUUUAAAUGUUCGUUUUUUUUAUGACAUGUUUUAACUAUUUGAAAUUGCUUAAACUUUCUAAGCCUUGAGAGCUUACUCUGUCUCUUAUUUCUUUGUUUUAUAGAUUGUUGGUUUUGACUAUCGACUCGGGGAUCGUCAGCAGUUCUUCAUACUAUUGAUCUUUUUGGUACAGUACUAUUUUGGACCCGAUAUGACAUGUAUAGGUUGGACUAUAAAAAGAAAAAUAUAUGUUUUGAAAUUGUAAAUAUCUUGGCCGUAUGAAAAUGGCACUUAUGACUUAUAAAUCGGUACGUAUUCAGUUUGAUUUAUACUUGAGUGGGAUGAUAUUGUGAUUGGAAUUAAAUGUUUAGCUUGGUAAUACCUCAUAGCCUAUACCGGUGAUCGGACUCGGGCUAGGGGUGUUACAUUUAUUGGUAUCAGAGCUACGGUUUAGUCGAUUCUAGGAUUAACAUAAAAUGUUUGAGUCUAGCUAUACAUGCCAUACAGUAUUAAUACGGUAGUAUGAUGAAUUCUGACAGUUAAAAAUGUGUUUUCGUAUAGUAAUGGAUCCUAAUCCCAAUCGAGCGGUAGCCGAUGAUAUUGAAAGCGUAGCGCCUGCUCCCGCGCAUGGGACAGCGCCGAUGGACUCUCAACCUAUUGUAAGCAAUCAGAACGACUGAGGCUAGAUAGGCUUUUUAUAGUGUGAUGAAUGAUUGGUUCAACAAAUAAAUUCGAACUAAUACGGCUGUCCCACAACCCCACUCCCGAAUAAUACGCCCCCUACACCUACAAUACCUCUGGUAAUUAAUCAAACAAGGUUAAAUAAGCCUCCGGUUGACAGAAUCAGAAAGCACGGGGCUACUGAAUUUAAAGCUACAGAUAGUGAUGAUGCUGAGCAGACUGAAUUUUGGUUAGACAAUACUGUUCGAGUACUUGAUGAACUAUCUUAGACACCCGAUGAAUGCCUGAAAUGUGCAAUAUCCUUACUACGUGAUUCUGCUUACUAUUGGUGGAACACAUUGGUUUCUGUUGUACCCAGAGAACGGGUGACGUGGAAGUUCUUCCAAACUGAAUUUCAAAAAAAAUAUAUUAGUCAGUGGUUCAUUGAUCAAAAACGAAAAGAAUUUCUUGAGCUUAAAUAGGGUUCCAUGUCAGUUACUGAUUAUGAACGGAAGUUUGUCAGACUCAGUAGAUAUGCUCGGGAAUGUGUAUCGUCUGAAGCUAUUAUGUGUAAACGUUUUGAAGAUGGGCUGAAUGAAGAUAUAAAGAUGUUGGUUGGCAUUCUUAAAAUACGAGAGUUCGUAGUACUUGUCGAACGAGCUUGCAAAGCCGAAGAACUUAGUAGAGAAAAAAAAAGCUGAUGUCGAAGCUGGAAAAUUUUGUAAAAGAUCAUUGGAAAAGCCCUUUCAACAAUCCUCGAAGAAAUUUAGGGAGGAUUCGAGUCGAUCUAAAGACACUUCAGGCUUUUCCAGAUAAGACCACAAUCGACCCCCAGCGAGUACACGAGCCACUUCGGUUGUUAGUGUUGGAUACGAUCUUCGGGACAGAACAGAGUGCAAGUAUUAUGGUAAAUGGCAUUCUGGGAGUUGUAGAUUUCAUGACCGCUCCUGUUAUAAAUGCUGGUCAACCGACCACUUUAUCAAAGAUUGCCCGAGACUAUCUGAACAAAAUGUGAAUCAGAGCGGAAAACCGAGUAAUACUACAGCACGAGGUAGGCCACCUAGGAAUACGGGGAAUGCUAGUGGCGGUCAGAGAGGGUCUAAAGAUGUUACCACCAGAUCUGAGGCUCGUGCUCCUGCUAGAGCUUAUGCUAUACGUGCACGAGAGGAUGCUUCUUCGCCUGAUGUUAUUACCGGUACUUUCACUCUCUUUGAUACUGAUGUGAUUGCUUUGAUUAACCCUGGUUCUACUCAUUCUUAUGUAUGUGAGACUUUAGCAUCCAGUAAGACUCUACCUGUUGAGUCUACUGAGUUCGUAAUACGAGUGUCAAAUCCCUUGGGUCAAUAUGUGUUAGUCGACAAAGUGUGUAGGAAAUGUUCCCUGAUAAUCCAAGGUUCCUAUUUUCCGGCCGAUUUGAUGCUCCUACCGUUUAAUGAAUUUGAUGUUAUUCUCGGUAUGGAUUGGUUAACUGUCCAUGAUGCAAUUGUGAAUUGCAAAAGAAAGACUAUUGAUUUGUGAUGUGCAAAUGAUGAGAUAAUCUGAGUUGAGUAUACUGAUAUGAAUGGGUUACCAGCAGUUAAAUCCUCGAUGUUGGCUCAAAAAUAUGUGAGAAAGGGGUGUGAAGUGUAUCUUGCAUACGUACUUGAUAAUAAAGAAACAAAAAAGAAACUUGAAUCAGUACCAGUGGUUUGUGAAUAUCCAGAUGUUUUUCUCGAAGGAUUAUCGGGGUUACCACCUGCUCGAGAGGUAGAGUUUGGCAUCGAACUUGUACCUGGGACUACACCGAUUUCGAUAGCUCCGUAUCGUAUGGCACCAACAAAAUUAAAGGAAUUGAAAGCUCAGUUGUAAGAGUUGACAGAUAGAGGUUUCACUCGACUGAGUUUCUCACCUUGGGGUGCACCAGUUUUGUUUGUAAAAAAGAAAGACGGAACCAUGAGACUGUGCAUCGACUAUCGUCAGUUGAAUAAAGUGACAAUUAAAAAUAAAUAUCUGUUACCGCGUAUUGAUAAUUUAUUCGAUCAACUGAAAGGAGCCUCAGUGUUUUCAAAGAUCGAUUUAAGAUCGGUUACUAUCAGUUGCGAGUUCGAGAUUCAGAUAUACCUAAAACUGCUUUUAAAACGAGAUACGGUCACUACGAGUUCUUAGUGAUGCCGUUUGGGCUCACUAAUGCCCCUGCAGUAUUUAUAGACUUGAUGAAUCGAAGUUUUAGACAGUAUUUGGAUCGGUUUGUAGUUGUGUUCAUUGACGAUAUCUUAAUUUAUUCACAUGAUGAAACUGAACAUGCUGAACACCUGAGAUUAGUGUUGCAGGUUUUACAGGAUAAGCAGUUAUAUGAUAAAUUCAGUAAAUGUGAGUUCUGGUUGAGAGAAGUUAGCUUUUUGGGACGCGUGGUAUCCGUAUCGGGUAUUAGAAUUGAUCCGAGCAAAAUUUCAGCCAUACUCGAUUGGAAGCCUCCGAGAAAUACUACUGAAGUUCGGAGCUUUUUGGGACUUGCUGGUUACUACAGACGGUUUGUAAAGGGUUUCUCGAUGAUAGCCACACCAAUGACGAAACUACUCCAGAAAGAUAUUAAGUUUGAAUGGUCAGAAAAAUGUCAGAAAAGUUUCGAUCAACUAAAAACUUAUUUGACUGAAGCUCCAGUGCUAGUGCAGCCCGAAUCAGGUAAAGAGUUUGUCAUUUACAGUGAUGCAUCCUUACUUGGGUUGGGUUGUGUAUUGAUGCAAGAAGGUCGAGUUACAGCUUACACGUCGAGGCAAUUGAAGCCACAUGAGAAAAACUAUCCAACCCAUGAUCUCGAAUUACCUGCCAUCGUAUUCGCUUUGAAAAUAUGGUGACAUUACUUGUUUGGAGAGAGGUGUCAUGUAUAUUCGGAUCACAAAAGCCUCAAAUAUUUGAUGACUCAAAGAGAUUUGAAUCUGGGACAAAGACGUUGGCUUGAGUUGUUGAAAGAUUACGAGCUUGUCAUUGACUAUCACCCGGGAAAGGCUAACGUGGUUGCUGAUGCUUUAAGUCGUAAGUUACUGUUUACUUUACGAGCAAUGAAUGUACACAUAUCUAUUUCAUCUGAUAAUAUGUUAGUAGCAGAAUUGAAAGCCAAACCAUUGUUGAUUCAUCAAAUACAUGAAUCUCAGAAAGUCGACGAUGAAUUGGUUGCUAAACGAGCUGAAUGUGCUUCUAAUGUGGAAUCAGAGCUUCAAAUAGACGACAACGAUUGUUUAAGGUUCAGAAGUCGAUUGUGUGUUCCAAGAAAUUCAAAAAUUAUUUCGAUGAUUUUGAGCGAGGCUCAUAGUAGCCGAAUGUCAAUCCACCCGGGUAGUACGAAAAUGUACAAUGAUUUAAAACGUAAGUUUUGGUGGCAUGCCAUGAAACGAGACAUUUCUGACUUUGUUUCGAAGUGUUUGAUAUGUCAACAAGUGAAACCGGAACAUCAAGUGUCUUCAGGGUUACUUCAUCUGAUCAUGAUACCUGAAUGGAAGUGGGAUCGAGUCACGAUGGAUUUUGUAUCUGGGUUGCCAUUGUCGUUAAGUAAGAAAGAUGCGAUCUGAGUUGUUGUCGAUAGACUGACAAAGUCAGCUCAUUUUAUUUCUGUACGUACCGAUUAUUCACUUGACAAGCUAGCUGAAUUGUAUGUUUCUCAGAUUGUAAGGUUACACGGAGUACCUAUUUCUAUUCUGUCUAAUAGAGAUCCGAGAUUCACAUCGCAAUUUUGGAAGAAAUUGCAAGAAGCAUUGGGUACCAAGUUACAUUUUAGCACCGCUUUUCAUCCCCAGACUGAUGGUCAAUCCGAGCGGAUAAUUCAGAUACUCGAGGAUAUGCUGAGAUGUUGCAUCCUUGAGUUUAGUGGUUCAUGGGAACGGUAUUUACCUUUGAUUGAAUUCGCUUACAACAAUAGUUUUCAAUCAAGCUUUAAGAUGGCACCUUACGAGGCUUUGUACGGUCGUAAAUGCCGUACACCGUUGUUUUGGACCAAGCUUAGUGAAAAUAAAAUCUUCGGGGUUGAUUUGAUCAAAGAUGCUGAGCAGAAAGUAAAAGUAAUUCGUGGAAGUCUGAAAGCAGGUUCAGAUCGUCAGAAGUCGUAUGCAGAUUUAAAGCGAAAAGACAUUGAAUAUCAGGUCGGAGACAAAGUGUUUCUUAAAGUUUCACCUUGGAAAAAGGUGCUCAGAUUUGGCCGUAAAGGCAAAUUGAGUCCGAGGUUCAUCGGGCCAUAUGAAAUAUUUGAACGAAUUGGGCCAGUCACAUACAGAUUGAUUUUACCCCCUGAACUUGAAAAGAUUCACAACGUUUUUCAUGUUUCGAUGCUUCGACGUUAUAGAUCCGAUCCAUCGCACAUAAUUAAUCCAUCAGAGGUUGAGAUUCAAUCUGAUUUGAGUUACGAAGAAGAACAGGUCUGUAUAUUGGCACGUGAAGUAAAAGAGUUACGAAACAAGAAGGUUCCGUUAGUAAAGGUAUUAUGGCUUAAGCACGGGAUAGAAGAAGCUACUUGGGAAACCGAGAACUCCAUGAAAGAAUGAUAUCCUAACUUAUUCACUGGUAAGAUUUUCGGGGAUGAAAAUUUCUUAUGUGGGGAAGAGUUGUGACAGCUCUAAAUUGACCCUAGUCGGAAAGUGGUUUUGGGACCACAAAAUCGAGUCAUAAAAAUAAUUAACUGUUAUUUUCUAUGCUUAUUGUGCAUGAACAUGCAUGUGUGAAAAUUUCAAUCUUUAAUUUGUUCAGUUGAAUGUAAAUUUAUUUAAUAGGACUUAUAUGAGACAAUUGUGAAAUGUGAUAGGUAAUUUUAAAAGUGGUCUAUGAAUGCAUAUAUUCAAAAAUUGUGGACUUCCAUGCCAAAAUACCCUUUUUGGGAUAGUGGCCGGCCAUGAUAUUGAUUAAUAAUAAUAAUAUAUAUUUUUCUAUCAACAUUUUUAGUUUACAAAAUGUAUUCUUGAAUAAAGAUUAAUAAAAUAUUUGCUGAGUGGGAGGAGAAACCAAAGUUGGUUCAUCCUCACUCCACCAUUGCCAUAACUUGAGGUGAGGAAGAAGAAAAAUUCUUAGUUUGAUUUUCGGCUUGGAGGAUAUUUAGAAAGAGGUAAGUACUUUGAAAUUCUUGAAAAUUUAUGUAUAAUUUAGGUGAUUUGUUCAAAUUCUAUUCAUUCCAUGGGUUAAAUUUUUGGUUGUUUGGAGGAUUGAUAUUUGGCCAAGUAGUUUGAAACUCUUGGUAGAUAUUUUUCUUUAUGUCAUUAAAAGGGAUGGUAUAUUAGGAUAUGAUGAGUGAUAAAUUGUUGUUAACUUGAAGCUUGAGAUCAGUGUAUGUUUAGAGGGAGGUGCCGAAUGUUUUAAUGAAUAAAAUGUGUAUUUGAGGUUAUAACAUUGGGUUAAGUAAUAUGGGUGCUAGCAAAUUUGGUAUAUUGUAUAGUUGUUAAUUGCCUUGUAUUAGAUGCUUUUUGAAGGAUAGUAAAUGGCUAAUUAAGAUGUUGUUGGGAAAUUUUAGUUUAGUUAUGUUAAAGCAUUCGGUUUUUCUUAUAAUAAUGGUAUAAGAUUAGAAAUUAUAGUAAGUAAGUUGUGAUCCUAUAGGAGCAAGAUAGAAUCGGUUAUUUAGGUAAUGGAGUGAAUCGGUCAUUGUGAGGCAUAGAUAAAACCAAUAUGAAAUUGCUACAUUGAUCAUGGAAUGAAAAUCUUUAUAUAGAAGUCAAAUUUGUUUGAUUAGGGCCGAGUGGGGUUUAUAAGUUAAUGACAUGUUAAAUAUUUAUUUAUGUGAAUCCGAGGUUGUGCAUAAGACUAGUAAUCGAUUCAAUUGUGAUAGUCACACAUAGGUAUAGAUAUACAAAUGCCUUGUGUAUGUACCUUGAGACGUAGAGGCAUUUGGAUACAUACAGUUAAGUUCGUGUAUAUAAAGCAUGGUAAGUUAUGUGAAUUUUUGUUUGUGUAUGCGAAAUAUAUGUCGCUGUAAUAGGCAUAAUAUAAUAACAAUAAUCGUAGCAUAUUCUAUAAAACAUAUUAUGUUUUGAAGUUAUAUGAUUGUUUAUUGUGACUACUAAACUAAGAAGUAAAGUCGAGUAAAUAAUUUAAAUAAAUCUAUUUGUUUUAAUUAAGCUCAAGAGCAAAAGGGGUCUAAAUUAGAAAGGGGAAAGGAGAAAGCAGUCGAGUAGAUUAUCCGCAACUGUUCAAAGUAUCCGAGGUAAGUUUUAAGUAGUCACCUUUAAAAUAUAUAAAUGAUGAUGUCUUAGUAUGAAUACAUUAGUUGAAUCGUAAUCUUUAGUCCUGCUUGAAGUAAAUUACGUGAUAAAUGAUUUAUGUGUAUGCCAUAUAGAUGAGUGGUCACUAUAAGUUAAGAUUAAAUGGUGAUAUGGUUAUAUAUAUGUAUAUAUUAUUAACUAUGUGGGAUUUUUGAACCGAAAUGAAAAUGGUCAUAUUCAUAUGGAGCUUGUACCUGAAUGUAGUAAAUGACUGCUAAUGUAGUAAGUUGAAUGGGAUGUGUGAGUAUAUGAUUAAAUAGGCUUAAUGCUGGUAUUAUAUCCGGGUUAAGUCCCGCAGGCUUAAUGCUGGUAUUAUAUCCGGGUUAAAUCCCGCAGGCUUAAUGCUGGUAUUAUAUCCGGGUUAAGUCCCGCAGGCUUAAUGCUGGUAUUAUAUCCGGGUUUAAAGUCCCGCAGGCUUUAUGCUAGUAAUUGUAUUCUGGUUUUGAAACCUAGCAGGCUUAACACCGGUGAUUAGAGUGAGAUUUCAGUUUGAAUGUUCGAAGUAAAGUAUUUUGGAUUGCAUAUGAUACAUGAUAAUACCUAGGUAUGUAGUAAGUAACUAUAUGUGAAUCGAUUUCAAGGGGAGAUGUUGGUAUCAAAUAACAAUAUAAUUGUGUGGAUGAUUAUUAUAUCUACGAAUAAGGGGAUGACCUACUCGGUCAAUGUCUGUCAUUGUAUGAAAAUACAUGAAUUAAAUUAGUAGUUUACUUGUGUAUAUUUGGCCGAGAGAUUGUAUUCUGAAUAUAAGUUUUGUGACAUUUAAAUGUUCGUUUUUUUUGUGACAUGUUUUAACUAUUUGAAAUUGCUUAAACUUACUAAGCCUCGAGACAUGUUUUAACUAUUUGAAAUUGCUUAAACUUACUAAGCCUCGAGAGCUUACUCUGUCUCUUAUUCCUUUGUUUUAUAGAUUGUUGAUUUUGGCUAUCGACUCGGGGAUCGUCAGCAGUUCUUCAUCCUAUAGAUCUUUUUGGUACAGUACUAUUUUGGACCCGAUAUGGCAUGUAUAGGUUGGACUGUAAAAAGAAAAAUAUAUGUUUUGAAAUUGUAAAUAUCUUGGCCGUAUGAAAAUGGCACUUAUGACUUAUAAAUCGGUACGUAUUCAGUUUGAUUUAAACUUGUGUGGGAUGAUAUUGUGAUUCGAAUUAAAUGUUUAGCUUGGUAAUACCUCAUAGCCUAUACCGGCGAUUGGACUCGGGCUAGGGAUGUUACAAUCCACCUUCCAAAAGCGCCCAUGAAACCACACCAUCAAUAGUUGCGCACAUCCAAUAAACUGCCCAUCACCUGACUUCCGACACAUGCUGAAGGAUCUGAACGUCUCAGCUAAUAUCGUAGGUACAGGUGUAAUUCCCUUCUUAAGACGAUCGAAUAAGUCGGUGACUCCCUCAUCCAUGUGCCUUAAAGCUUUAGGAAAAAUUACCAAUCCAUAGCUGCUUAAGACGAAUAUAUCAACCCUCUUUCAUUCAUUCGGAUAUGUUAAAACCAAAUCUCUCAAAUUCUCCCAAGGGAUACAUUUUCUGUCUCCCUUUUGUUGAAUCCGAGCGGUGACCCAAGGCUCGCUCAUCCCUGAAAUUUUCAUCAAUUUUUUCGUGAACAUUUGGCUAUUAAAAACCUUGGCAUAAGCUUUUCUAACUUGCACUUUUGGACACCUAAGCAGGGCAGUAUAUUCCUCCACGGUAGGCACUAAAUCUACUUCCCCAAAAGUGAAACACUUGUAAGCAAAAUUCCAAAAUUGAACCAUAACUCGGAACAGGUGCUUGUUCACCUUAAUUUCUAACAAGUAAGAUAUAUCACCAUAGCUUUGAUUAAACAACUGUUUGGUUCCUUCAUCCCAACGAGCCAGAUGUCUCUCAACUCUUGCAACUCAUUCUGUGCUACAUUGAUGCGAGUGAAUUCUUGCAACUCUGAUGUAUAUCCUUCUGUCAAGCUAUCCCCUUUCUCCGAUUGUAACUUCUCUGACCAUGCGCGGACGGUCGUAUUAUCCUCAACUUUAUUAAGAAAUUCAUUCUCCAUGUAAAACUUUCUAACUUAGUAAUCGAAUACGAAUCAACACCUCCUUUAAUAUGCAAUAUCAUGCAAAAUACAAUCAAAACAAGACAAGUCAGUAUUAAGUGUUAGUGAUAAAAUACAAGCAAAAUAAAGAUAAUCAAAGCAUAUAUAUAUGGGUGACCACUAUAGUUUAACCUAGCUCCAUCUAAAGAAGGCUCUUAGGGUUCUCUAUAUGCGGUUUAGUUCUAGAGUAAGGGUACUCGAACCAGCAAAUUCCUCAAUCCUCACCCAUUAUAGGCUCAUACGGAUUGAGUUCAGUUCAGGGGAAUACAUUUCCCCAUGACCAUGCGGAGAUGAAAAUCUCACAAAAUCAUAGGUACGGAUGUAUCCCGGAAGCAAUCUACUAGCCCAUGCGGAGGUGAAACCUCACGAAAGAAUAGUUUCUUACUCCCACUUAAAAGGUGUGACCACAGCGGUCAUGCAAUGCAAUGCAAUGUUAUUAUACAAGACCCGAACCAUAACAAUUAUACAAUCGAAUGCAAAUGAAGAAACCAUGAUUUUCAAAAUAAAUUUUCAAUUCAUUGACCAAAGGACAGCAAAUAAUCAAUUUUAUGGCUUGACUCUCUUAUUUUCCCCAGUGGAGUCGCCCAGCUGUCGAAACCAUUUUUUUUAUUUAAAAAUGAUGGAUCGACUUUUUGGAAAGCGAAAAUGGAGUCACCACCAAUCUUUUCUUGUUUAGGUGUGAUCGGAUCACCUGGAAAUUUGGUUGUUUUAAUAAAACAUUUUGGUUUACUAAAACAAUGAUCUUGGUCUCCAAAAUUUUAAGCAAACAGGUUCAGGAGUCGGUUACGUAUGAGGAAGGAUUAGCACCCUCAUUACGCCCAAAAUUGGUACCAAAUCAAUUAAAUAACUAUCCUUGUAUCUAAGAUUUAAAAUAUUUUUUUUGAAAUGAGGUUCUUCUUGAUUACAUUUCAAUAACCGAGUUGGUCGUCAAGAUCUUCUUGUUUCCGAGGAAUAUAGCAUCACAACCAGCACAGUAGGACACGAUCCUUUAUACUCUCGAAAACACGAUAUAUUUCGACUUCCAAAAAUUUAUAAUUUGGAAAUUACAAAAGGAUGCUCAACUAUUUAGUCCAACAAAAAAUCUAAACCCAGCACAGUAGGGCAUGAUUCCUCGAAUUUCCAAACAUUGAACAUUGCCUCUCCUUAGAAAACACAAGUGAAAUUCCGAAGGGAUAUUCGAUUAUUUUGAACAAUCGAGAGAUUGCAUCCCAUCAGAUAGGGCACUAUUCCCUAAAUUGCUAAAUACCGAACAUUUCCUUUGUUUUUAAAAGUUUUUUUUUUUAGAAAACAUGAAUGAAAUUCUAAAGAAACAUUCGAUUAUUUUGAGCAAACGAGAAAUUGCAACCCAGUAUGUUAGGGCACGAUUCCAUGGAUUGCCAAAUAUCGAACAUCUCUUUCGUUUUAAUGAAUUUUUAAAGACAUGAGUGGAACACCGAAGGAAUAUUCAAUUGUUUUGAACAAACAGGAAAUUGCAACCCAGCACGAUAGGGCACGAUUCCCCGAAUUGUCAAACACCUAAUAUUGCCUUUACUUGCGAUAAUUCUUAUUUCGAGGUAACAAAAUGUCAUACCCGGUAAGUUAGGGCACAACACCUCGUAUAUCUGAGAAUAAGCAUUUCUUUAAAACUUGUGUUAAGAUUUAAAAGAAUUAAAAGGCAGAUUUAAGAAAUGGUCAAAGACUAGAUUAAAAUCUAACAAAAAUGGGGAGGGACUACGCAAGCAAUUACCCCAAACGGUAGACACACGCGGAUCCUCAAGCAUCGGGUCGGGUCCCCCACGGGUCACGUGAAACGGCGUCAUUUUGGCGCUGUGAGUUAAGGCCCAAAACGGCGUCGUAUUAUGUCACUAUAUAUUAUACUCUUAAGAGAAAAAGGGUAAACUCCAAACAUAAACUAUAAAAAAUAAGUAAGAUAUUAAAAGAAAAAAUACAAACAAGAUAUAUAUAUAAUUCCUUGCGUUGUUGAAAAUUGAUUUCUUUACAUAUGUUUAUCUCUUUUAUAGCAAAUUGUUAGGUAUAAUUUCAUUUUUGUUUUUUUUUAUAUUUUUAUACAUUUAUGCAAUCUCUUUUUUUUUAAGUAAUGGAAAUAAAAUUUUCUUUAGAGUGUAGUAGUAGAUUCUUUCGAUAGAUUACAACUUAAAAAUUGUUCUCAUGCAUUAAAAAUGGUUAGAAGUAGUGUAGUACCAACUAUUUUUAUUUGUUAUACACAUCAUAUAUGUAUUACAUAAAAAAUGUAGUUAUUUUGCAUUUUAUAUUCCAAAGAAUCUUUAAGCCCUUAAUUCUAACUCUAUUCUAAUUUUAUCUCCAAGGCCGAAUUCAAACACUACCACCUUCAUUGGAAGGGUAUGAAGUUUCGUACAAUAAUUUAAUUGGAACAAUGGCCUCCUCAAUAUGCAAUUUAACUUCUCUUACGAGUCUCGAUCUAUCUAAGAAUAAUUUGGAUGGAGCAAUUCCAGAGUGCCUUGAAAACUUGAGUUCUUCUCUCUCAACAGUUGAUCUAGGGAAUAAUAAUUUUCGUGGUCAAAUACUAGAAAAUUUUGCUAAAGGUUGCAUGUUGAAAAGUUUUCGCAUCAACAACAAUAAAUUAGAAGGGUCACUACCACGAUCUUUGGCUAAUUGCAAAGAUUUAAACCUUCUUCAUGUUGGAAACAACAAUUUGAAUGACACUUUCCCAAAUUGGUUAGAAAAUUUGGAUCAAUUGUAUGUUCUUAUCUUAAGUUCGAAUAGAUUUUAUGGCCAAAUAGAUAGCUUUGAUGUUGCAGUUUCCUUAACUCGUUUGCGUAUAAUUGAUCUUUCUUGGAAUAACUUCAGUGGCUACUUACCUACAAAUUUUUUUGAACAUUUGCAUGCCAUUAGAGAAGGGUAUGAAAAGAAAGUCGAACCAAAGUACAUGAAACAAGGAUUUGGUAAAGUUUUUGUGAAUUAUGCUUCUGGUUUAUCUAUUACAGCAAAAGGGUUGCAAAAAGAGUUUCAAAUACCAUUAUCCAUUUGGACAGUUAUUGACCUUUCCAGUAAUCAAUUCUCGGGAGAAAUUCCAAAAAUACUUGGGGACCCGAUAUGGCAUGUAUAGGUUGGACUGUAAAAAGAAAAAUAUAUGUUUUGAAAUUGUAAAUAUCUUGGCCGUAUGAAAAUGGCACUUAUGACUUAUAAAUCGGUACGUAUUCAGUUUGAUUUAUACUUGCGUGGGAUGAUAUUGUGAUUCGAAUUAAAUGUUUAGCUUGGUAAUACCUCAUAGCCUAUACUGGCGAUCGCACUCGGGCUAGGGGUGUUACAAUCCACCUUCCAAAAGCGCCCAUGAAACCACACCAUCAAUAGUUGCGCAUAUCCAAUAAACCGCCCAUCACCUGACUUCCAACACAUGCUGAAGGAUCUGAACGUCUCAGGUAAUAUCGUAGGUACAAGUGUGAUUCCCUUCUUAAGACGAUCGAAUAAGUCAGUGACUGCCUCAUCCAUGUGCCUUAAAGCUUUAGGAAAAAUUACCAAUCCAUGGCUGCUUAAGACGAAUAUAUCGACCCUCUUUCUUUCAUUCGGAUAUGUUAAAACCAAAUCUCUCAAAUUCUCCCAAAGGAUACAUUUUCUAUCUCCCUUUUGUUGAAUCCGAGUGGUGACCCAAGGCUCGCUCAUCCCUGAAAUUUUCAUCAAUUUUUUCGUGAACAUUUGGCUAUUAAAAACCUUGGCAUAAGCUUUUCUAACUUGCACUUUUGGACACCUAAGCAGGGCAGUAUAUUCCUCCACGGUAGGCACUAAAUCUACUUCCCCAAAAGUGAAACACUUGUAAGCAAAAUUCCAAAAUUGAACCAUAACUCGGAACAGGUGCUUGUUCACCUUAAUUUCUAACAAGUAAGAUAUAUCACCAUAGCUUUGAUUAAACAACUGUUUGGUUCCUUCAUCCCAACGAGCUAGAUGUCUCUCAACUCUUGCAACUCAUUCUGUGCUACAUUGAUGCGAGUGAAUUCUUGCAACUCUGAUGUAUAUCCUUCUGUCAAGCUAUCCCCUUUCUCCGAUUGUAACUUCUCUGACCAUGCGCGGACGGCCGCAUUAUCCUCAACUUUAUUAAGAAAUUAAUUCUCCAUGUAAAACUUUCUAACUUAGUAAUCGAAUACGAAUCAACACCUCCUUUAGUAUGCAAUAUCAUGCAAAAUACAAUCAAAACAAGACAAGUCAGUAUUAAGUGUUAGUGAUAAAAUACAAGCAAAAUAAAGAUAAUCAAAGCAUAUAUAUAUGGGUGACCACUAUAGUUUAACCUAGCUCCAUCUAAAGAAGGCUCUUAGGGUUCUCUAUAUGCGGUUUAGUUCUAGAGUAAGGGUACCCGAACCAGCAAAUUCCUCGAUCCUCACCCAUUAUAGGCUCAUACGGAUUGAGUUCAGUUCAGGGGAAUACAUUUCCCCAUGACCAUGCGGAGAUGAAAAUCUCACGAAAUCAUAGGUACGGAUGUAUCCCAGAAGCAAUCCACUAGCCCAUGCAGAGGUGAAAACCUCACGAAAGCAUAGUUUCUUACUUCCACUUAAAAGGUGUGACCACAGCGGUCAUGCAAUGCAAUGCAAUGUUAUUAUACAAGACCCGAACCAUAACAAUCAUACAAUCGAAUGCAAAUGAAGAAACCAUGAUUUUCAAAAUAAAUUUUCAAUUCAUUGAGCAAAGGACAACAAAUAAUGAAUUUUAUGGCUUGACUCUCUUAUUUUCCCCAGUGGAGUCGCCAAGCUGUCAAAACUAUUUUUUUCGAUUUAAAAACGGUGGAUCGACUUUUUGGAAAGUGAAAAUGGAGUCACCACCAAUCUUUUCUUGUUUAGGUGUGAUCGGAUCACUUGGAAAUUUGGUUGUUUUAAUAAAACAUUUUGGUUUACUAAAACAAUGAUCUUGGUCUCCAAAAUUUUGAGCAAACAGGUUCAGGAGUCGGUUACGUAUGAGGAAGGAUUAGCACCCUCAUUACGCCCAAAAUUGGUACCAAAUCAAUUAAAUAACUAUCCUUGUAUCUAAGAUUUAAAAUAUUUUUUUUGAAAUGAGGUUCUUCUUGAUUACAUUUGAAUAACCGAGUUGGUCAUCAAGAUCUUCUUGUUUCAAAGGAAUAUAGCGUCACAACCAGCACAGUAGGACACGAUCCUUUAUACUCUCGAAAACACGAUAUAUUUCGACUUCCAAAAAUUUAUAAUUUGGAAAUUACAAAAGGAUGCUCAACUAUUUAGUCCAACGAAAAAUCGAAACCCAGCAUAGUAGGGCAUGAUUCCUCGAAAUUCCAAACAUUGAACAUUGCCUCUCCUUAGAAAACACAAGUGAAAUUCCGAAGGGAUAUUCGAUUAUUUUGAACAAACGAGAGAUUGCAACCCAGCAGAUAGGGCACUAUUCCCCAAAUUGCUAAAUACCGAACAUUUCCUUUGUUUUUAAAAGUUUUUUUUUUAGAAAACAUGAAUGAAAUUCUAAAUAAACAUUCGAUUAUUUUGAGCAAACGAGAAAUUGCAACCUAGUAUGUUAGGGCACGAUUCCAUGGAUUGCAAAAUAUCGAACAUCUCUUUCGUUUUAAUGAAUUUUUAAAGACAUAAGUGGAACACCGAAGGAAUAUUCAAUUGUUUUGAACAAACAGGAAAUUGCAACCCAGCACGAUAGGGCACGAUUCCCCGAAUUGUCAAACACCUAAUAUUGCAUUUACUUGCGAAAAUUCUUAUUUCGAGGUAACAAAAUGUCAUACCCGGUAAGUUAGGGCACAACACCUCGUAUAUCUGAGAAUAAGCAUUUCUUUAAAACUCGUGUUAAGAUUUAAAAGAAUAUUUCGUUAUUUAGGUUAAAUGAGAAAAGUUGAAACUCAGUAAGUGAGGGCACGAUUAUCUCGAAUUACCUAAUACGGGAUAUUACUUUUAUGAAAGAAUUGUUUUCUUCAGGGCAAGGUUAGUAACAUAAAACAAAUGCAUGAGGGAAAUGAAAUAAACGAAUACAUAAGUAAAUAAAAGAAAUAUAAAACAAGACGACACAAAAAAUAACAAUAAUGAUGAAAACGAUAAUAAUAGUAAUGUUGAUAAUAAUAAUAGUGGUGGUAAAACAACAACAACAACAACAACAAUAAUAAUAAUAGUAGUAGUAGUAAUAAGAAUAUUAAUAUUUGUAUCGAUAAUAACGAUGAUAGUGAUAGAGAAUAAUAAAGAAAUGAUAAUAGUAAUAGUAAUAAAAGUGAAAAUGAUAGUAAUAAUAAGGACAAUGAUAUAUAAGAAAUAAUACUAUAUAAAAAGUAUAUAUAUAUACACGUAUAAUGAAGUAUAUGCAAAUAUUGAUAAUAAAUAUGAUAGAGGUAGAAAUUAAUAUAAUAAUUACAUGUGCAUAAUACGGUAUUAAGAAAUAUUGUAUUAAGGAUGUACACAUAGUAUAUAUGCUAGGAACAAUAAUAAUAGUAAAAUAAUGCUACAUAAAUAAAUAUAGUAAUAGUAUAUACAUAAUAUAGUUAUUAAAAAUAUAAACGUAACAUAUCGAAAAACCAAUGUUAAAAGGAUGUAUAUACGAUACACAUAUAUUAUAUAUGAUAAUAAUGUCAGAAAACAACCAUUAAAGAUAUUAUAUAAAUAUAUAUACAUAUAUGAAAAACAAAUACAUGGUAAUAUUAAAAGUAUGUACAUAGUAUAUAUAUGUGUGUUAGAAAAUGUAUACAUAAUAUAUAAAAAUAUAUGCAUAUAUAGUAUUUAGAAAAGAAAAAAAAUACAUAGUAUAAUAUUGAUAUACAUAUAUGCGUAGCAUGGGGUAUAAUUAAAAGUAUAUGUAUAUGUGACAUACCAAUACAUUAACAAAAGCAAUAAUAUUAAAAGCUAUUAAUAAUACUAUGUAAUAUACAUAAUAUAUAUAUAAGUGUCAAGUAAGAAUAAUAAUAAUGGGACACUAAUAAGCAAAAAUAUAAUAAUAACAGUAAUAAAAAUAAUAACAUGAAGGAUAUUAAAAUUAAAAAUAAUAAAAAAGGUAAAAGAGGGACGAAAUUGAAUUGAAAAUAGAAUUUUUGGGACAAAUCGGGAUGAGAUAAAAAUGUAGGGGUUAAACGGAACACGCGAGAAGAUGUAGGAGCUAUAUGGGGCAAUAUUCCAAUACCCAAAAUAACACCGUUCAGAAUGUCUAACCCUCAAAUGGUCCAAGGUCCGAAUUGAAGCAAAAUUAAAAUUAAAAGGCAAAUUUAAGAAAUGGUCAAAGACUAGAUUAAAAUCUAACAAAAAUGGGGAGGGACUACGCGAGCAAUUACCCCAAACGGUAGACACACGCGGAUCCUCAAGCAUCGGGUCGAGUCCCCCACGGGUCACCUGAAACGGCGUCGUUUUGGCGCUGUGAGUUAAGGCCCAAAACGGCGCCGUAUUAUGUCACUAUAUAAACCCAAAAUUUUUUUAAAAAAAUCAAUUUUCCUUUCUUCAAAAAAAAACUUUUAAAAACAAAGGAAAUGUUCGGUAUUUAGCAAUUUGGGGAAUAGUGCCCUAUCUGCUGGGUUGCAAUCUCUCGUUUGUUCAAAAUAAUCGAAUAUCCCUUCGAAUUUCACUUGUGUUUUCUAAGGAGAGGCAAUGUUCAAUGUUUGGAAUUUCGAGGAAUCAUGCCCUACUAUGUUGGGUUUCGAUUUUUCGUUGGACUAAAUAGUUGAGCAUCCUUUUGUAAUUUCCAAAUUAUAAAUUUUUGGAAGUCGAAAUAUAUCGUGUUUUCGAGAGUAUAAAGGAUCGUGUCCUACUGUGCUGGUUGUGACGCUAUAUUCCUUUGAAACAAGAAGAUCUUGACGACCAACUCGGUUAUUCAAAUGUAAUCAAGAAGAACCUCAUUUCAAAAAAAAUAUUUUAAAUCUUAGAUACAAGGAUAGUUAUUUAAUUGAUUUGGUACCAAUUUUGGGCGUAAUGAGGGUGCUAAUCCUUCCUCAUACGUAACCGACUCCUGAACCUGUUUGCUCAAAAUUUUGGAGACCAAGAUCAUUGUUUUAGUAAACCAAAAUGUUUUAUUAAAACAACCAAAUUUCCAGGUGAUCCGAUCACACCUAAACAAGAAAAGAUUGGUGGUGACUCCAUUUUCGCUUUCCAAAAAGUCGAUCCACCGUUUUUAAAUCGAAAAAAAUAGUUUUGACAGCUUGGCGACUCCACUGGGGAAAAUAAGAGAGUCAAGCCAUAAAAUUGAUUAUUUGUUGUCCUUUGCUCAAUGAAUUGAAAAUUUAUUUUGAAAAUCAUGGUUUCUUCAUUUGCAUUCGAUUGUAUGAUUGUUAUGGUUCGGGUCUUGUAUAAUAACAUUGCAUUGCAUUGCAUGACCGCUGUGGUCACACCUUUUAAGUGGAAGUAAGAAACUAUGCUUUCGUGAGGUUUUCACCUCUGCAUGGGCUAGUGGAUUGCUUCCGGGAUACAUCCGUACCUAUGAUUUCGUGAGAUUUUCAUCUCCGCAUGGUCAUGGGGAAAUGUAUUCCCUUGAACUGAACUCAAUCCGUAUGAGCCUAUAAUGGGUGAGGAUCGAGGAAUUUGCUGGUUCGGGUACCCUUACUCUAGAACUAAACCGCAUAUAGAGAACCCUAAGAGCCUUCUUUAGAUGGAGCUAGGUUAAACUAUAGUGGUCACCCAUAUAUAUAUGCUUUGAUUAUCUUUAUUUUGCUUGUAUUUUAUCACUAACACUUAAUACUGACUUGUCUUGUUUUGAUUGUAUUUUGCAUGAUAUUGCAUACUAAAGGAGGUGUUGAUUCGUAUUCGAUUACUAAGUUAGAAAGUUUUACAUGGAGAAUGAAUUUCUUAAUAAAGUUGAGGAUAAUGCGGCCGUCCGCGCAUGGUCAGAGAAGUUACAAUCGGAGAAAGGGGAUAGCUUGACAAAAGGAUAUACAUCAGAGUUGCAAGAAUUCACUCGCAUCAAUGUAGCACAGAAUGAGUUGCAAGAGUUGAGAGACAUCUAGCUCGUUGGGAUGAAGGAACCAAACAGUUGUUUAAUCAAAGCUAUGGUGAUAUAUCUUACUUGUUAGAAAUUAAGGUGAACAAGCACCUGUUCCGAGUUAUGGUUCAAUUUUGGAAUUUUGCUUACAAGUGUUUCACUUUUGGGGAAGUAGAUUUAGUGCCUACCGUGGAGGAAUAUACUGCCCUGCUUAGGUGUCCAAAAGUGCAAGUUAGAAAAGCUUAUGCCAAGGUUUUUAAUAGCCAAAUGUUCACGAAAAAAUUGAUGAAAAUUUCAGGGAUGAGCGAGCCUUGGGUCACCACUCGGAUUCAACAAAAGGGAGAUAGAAAAUGUAUCCUUUGGGAGAAUUUGAGAGAUUUGGUUUUAACAUAUCCGAAUGAAAGAAAGAAGGUCGAUAUAUUCGUCUUAAGCAACCAUGGAUUGGUAAUUUUUCCUAAAGCUUUAAGGCACAUGGAUGAGGCAGUCACUGACUUAUUCGAUCGUCUUAAGAAGGGAAUCACACUUGUACCUACGAUAUUACCUGAGACGUUCAGAUCCUUCAGCAUGUGUUGGAAGUCAGGUGAUGGGCGGUUUAUUGGAUAUGCGCAACUAUUGAUGGUGUGGUUUCAUGGGCGCUUUUGGAAGAUGGAUUGUAACACCCCUAGCCCGAGUGCGAUCGCCAGUAUAGGCUAUGAGGUAUUACCAAGCUAAACAUUUAAUUCCAAUCACAAUAUCAUCCCACGCAAGUAUAAAUCAAACUGAAUACGUACCGAUUUAUAAGUCAUAAGUGCCAUUUUCAUACGGCCAAGAUAUUUACAAUUUCAAAACAUAUAUUUUUGGAAUUUCUCCCGAGAAUUGAUUACUGGAAAGGUCAAUAACUGUCCAAAUGGAUAAUGGUAUUUGAAACUCUUUUUGCAACCCUUUUGCUGUAAUAGAUAAACCAGAAGCAUAAUUCACAAAAACUUUACCAAAUCCUUGUUGCAUGUACUUUGGUUCGACUUUCUUUUCAUACCCUUCUCUAAUGGCAUGCAAAUGUUCAAAAAAAUUUGUAGGUAAGUAGCCACUGAAGUUAUUCCAAGAAAGAUCAAUUAUACGCAAACGAGUUAAGGAAACUGCAACAUCAAAGCUAUCUAUUUGGCCAUAAAAUCUAUUCGAACUUAAGAUAAGAACAUACAAUUGAUCCAAAUUUUCUAACCAAUUUGGGAAAGUGUCAUUCAAAUUGUUGUUUCCAACAUGAAGAAGGUUUAAAUCUUUGCAAUUAGCCAAAGAUCGUGGUAGUGACCCUUCUAAUUUAUUGUUGUUGAUGCGAAAACUUUUCAACAUGCAACCUUUAGCAAAAUUUUCUAGUAUUUGACCACGAAAAUUAUUAUUCCCUAGAUCAACUGUUGAGAGAGAAGAACUCAAGUUUUCAAGGCACUCUGGAAUUGCUCCAUCCAAAUUAUUCUUAGAUAGAUCGAGACUCGUAGGAGAAGUUAAAUUGCAUAUUGAGGAGGCCAUUGUUCCAAUUAAAUUAUUGUACGAAACUUCAUACCCUUCCAAUGAAGGUGGUAGUGUUUGAAUUCGGCCUUGGAGAUAAAAUUAGAAUAGAGUUAGAAUUAAGGGCUUAAAGAUUCUUUGGAAUAUAAAAUGCAAAAUAACUACAUUUUUAUGUAAUACAUAUAUGAUGUGUAUAACAAAUAAAAAUAGUUGGUACUACACUACUUCUAACCAUUUUUAAUGCAUGAGAACAAUUUUUAAAUUGUAAUCUAUCGAAAGAAUCUACUACUACACUCUAAAGAAAAUUUUAUUUCCAUUACUUAAAAAAAAAAGAUUGCAUAAAUGUAUAAAAAUAUAAAAAAAACGAAAAUGAAAUUAUACCUAACAAUUUGCUAUAAAAGAGAUAAACAUAUGUAAAGAAAUCAAUUUUCAACAACGCAAGGAAUUAUAUAUAUAUAUCUUGUUUGUAUUUUUUCUUUUAAUAUCUUACUUAUUUUUUAUAGUUUAUGUUUGGAGUUUACCCUUUUUCUCUUAAGAGUAUAAUAUAUAGUGACAUAAUACGACGCCGUUUUGGGCCUUAACUCACAGCGCCAAAAUGACGCCGUUUCACGUGACCCGUGGGGGACCCGACCCGAGGCUUGAGGAUCCGCGUGUGUCUACCGUUUGGGGUAAUUGCUUGCGUAGUCCCUCCCCAUUUUUGUUAGAUUUUAAUCUAGUCUUUGACCAUUUCUUAAAUCUGCCUUUUAAUUCUUUUAAAUCUUAACACAAGUUUUAAAGAAAUGCUUAUUCUCAGAUAUACGAGGUGUUGUGCCCUAACUUACCGGGUAUGACAUUUUGUUACCUCGAAAUAAGAAUUAUCGCAAGUAAAGGCAAUAUUAGGUGUUUGACAAUUCGGGGAAUCGUGCCCUAUCGUGCUGGGUUGCAAUUUCUUGUUUGUUCAAAACAAUUGAAUAUUCCUUCGGUGUUCCACUCAUGUCUUUAAAAAUUCAUUAAAACGAAAGAGAUGUUCGAUAUUUGGCAAUCCAUGGAAUCGUGCCCUAACAUACUGGGUUGCAAUUUCUCGUUUGCUCAAAAUAAUCGAAUGUUUCUUUAGAAUUUCAUUCAUGUUUUCUAAAAAAAAAACUUUUAAAAACAAAGGAAAUGUUCGGUAUUUAGCAAUUUAGGGAAUAGUGCCCUAUCUGAUGGGUUGCAAUCUCUCGUUUGUUCAAAAUAUUCGAAUAUCCCUUCGGAAUUUCACUUGUGUUUUCUAAGGAGAGGCAAUGUUCAAUGUUUGGAAAUUCGAGGAAUCAUGCCCUACUGUGCUGGGUUUAGAUUUUUUGUUGGACUAAAUAGUUGAGCAUCCUUUUGUAAUUUCCAAAUUAUAAAUUUUUGGAAGUCGAAAUAUAUCGUGUUUUCGAGAGUAUAAAGGAUCGUGUCCUACUGUGCUGGUUGUGAUGCUAUAUUCCUCUGAAACAAGAAGAUCUUGACGACCAACUCGGUUAUUGAAAUGUAAUCAAGAAGAACCUCAUUUCAAAAAAAAUAUUUUAAAUCUUAGAUACAAGGAUAGUUAUUUAAUUGAUUUGGUACCAAUUUUGGGCGUAAUGAGGGUGCUAAUCCUUCCUCAUACGUAACCGACUCCUGAACCUGUUUGCUUAAAAUUUUGGAGACCAAGAUCAUUGUUUUAGUAAACCAAAAUGUUUUAUUAAAAUAACCAAAUUUCCAGGUGAUCCGAUCACACCUAAACAAGAAAAGAUUGGUGGUGACUCCAUUUUCGCUUUCCAAAAAGUCGAUCCAUCGUUUUUAAAUAAAAAAAAAUGGUUUCGACAGCUGGGCGACUCCACUGGGGAAAAUAAGAGAGUCAAGCCAUAAAAUUGAUUAUUUGCUGUCCUUUGGUCAAUGAAUUGAAAAUUUAUUUUGAAAAUCAUGGUUUCUUCAUUUGCAUUCGAUUGUAUAAUUGUUAUGGUUCGGGUCUUGUAUAAUAACAUUGCAUUGCAUUGCAUGACCGCUGUGGUCACACCUUUUAAGUGGGAGUAAGAAACUAUGCUUUCGUGAGGUUUCACCUCCGCAUGGGCUAGUGGAUUGCUUCCGGGAUACAUCCGUACCUAUGAUUUCGUGAGAUUUUCAUCUCCGCAUGGUCAUGGGGAAAUGUAUUCCCCUGAACUGAACUCAAUCCGUAUGAGCCUAUAAUGGGUGAGGAUUGAGGAAUUUGCUGGUUCGAGUACCCUUACUCUAGAACUAAACCGCAUAUAGAGAACCCUAAGAGCCUUCUUUAGAUGGAGCUAGGUUAAACUAUAGUGGUCACCCAUAUAUAUAUGCUUUGAUUAUCUUUAUUUUGCUUGUAUUUUAUCACUAACACUUAAUACUGACUUGUCUUGUUUUGAUUGUAUUUUGCAUGAUAUUGCAUACUAAAGGAGGUGUUGAUUCGUAUUCGAUUACUAAGUUAGAAAGUUUUACAUGGAGAAUGAAUUUCUUAAUAAAGUUGAGGAUAAUACGACCGUCCGCGCAUGGUCAGAGAAGUUACAAUCGGAGAAAGGGGAUAGCUUGACAGAAGGAUAUACAUCAGAGUUGCAAGAAUUCACUCGCAUCAAUGUAGCACAGAAUGAGUUGCAAGAGUUGAGAGACAUCUGGCUCGUUGGGAUGAAGGAACCAAACAGUUGUUUAAUCAAAGCUAUGGUGAUAUAUCUUACUUGUUAGAAAUUAAGGUGAACAAGCACCUGUUCCGAGUUAUGGUUCAAUUUUGGAAUUUUGCUUACAAGUGUUUCACUUUUGGGGAAGUAGAUUUAGUGCCUACCGUGGAGGAAUAUACUGCCCUGCUUAGGUGUCCAAAAGUGCAAGUUAGAAAAGCUUAUGCCAAGGAUUUUAAUAGCCAAAUGUUCACGAAAAAAUUGAUGAAAAUUUCAGGGAUGAGCGAGCCUUGGGUCACCGCUCGGAUUCAACAAAAGGGAGACAGAAAAUGUAUCCCUUGGGAGAAUUUGAGAGAUUUGGUUUUAACAUAUCCGAAUGAAAGAAAGAGGGUCGAUAUAUUCGUCUUAAGCAGCUAUGGUUUGGUAAUUUUUCCUAAAGCUUUAAGGCACAUGGAUGAGGGAGUCACCGACUUAUUCGAUCGUCUUAAGAAGGGAAUUACACCUGUACCUACGAUAUUAGCUGAGACGUUCAGAUCCUUCAGCAUGUGUCGGAAGUCAGGUGAUGGGCAGUUUAAUGGAUGUGCGCAACUAUUGAUGGUGUGGUUUCAUGGGCGCUUUUGGAAGGUGGAUUGUAACAUCCCUAGCCCGAGUCCAAUCGCCGGUAUAGGCUAUGAGGUAUUACCAAGCUAAACAUUUAAUUCGAAUCACAAUAUCAUCCCACGAAAGUAUAAAUCAAACUGAAUACGUACCGAUUUAUAAGUCAUAAGUGCCAUUUUCAUACGGCCAAGAUAUUUACAAUUUCAAAACAUAUAUUUUUCUUUUUACAGUCCAACCUAUACAUGCCAUAUCGGGUCCAAAAUAGUACUGUACCAAAAAGAUCGAUAGGAUGAAGAACUGCUGACGAUCCCCGAGUCGAUAGCCAAAAUCAACAAUCUAUAAAACAAAGGAAUAAGAGACAGAGUAAGCUCUCGAGGCUUAGUAAGUUUAAGCAAAUUCAAAUAGUUAAAACAUGUCUCGAGGCUUAGUAAGUUUAAGCAAUUUCAAAUAGUUAAAACAUGUCACAAAAAAAACGAACAUUUAAAUGUCACAAAACUUAUAUUCAGAAUACAAUCUCUCGGCCAAAUAUACACAAGUAAACUACUAAUUUAAUUCACGUAUUUUCAUACAAUGACAGACAUUGACCGAGUAGGUCAUCCCCUUAUUCGUAGAUAUAAUAAUCAUCCACACAAUUAUAUUGUUAUUUGAUACCAACAUCUCCCCUUGAAAUCGAUUCACAUAUAGUUACUUACUACAUACCUAGGUAUUAUCAUGUAUCAUAUGCAAUCCAAAAUAGUUUACUUCGAACAUUCAAACUGAAAUCUCACUCUAAUCACCGGUGUUAAGCCUGCUAGGUUUCAAAACCAGAAUACAAUUACUAGCAUAAAGCCUGCGGGACUUUAAACCCGGAUAUAAUACCAGCAUUAAGCCUGCGGAACUUAACCCGGAUAUAAUACCAGCAUUAAGCCUGCGGGAUUUAACCCGGAUAUAAUACCAGCAUUAAGCCUGCGGGACUUAACCCGGAUAUAAUACCAGCAUUAAGCCUAUUUAAUCAUAUACUCACACAACCCAUUCAACUUACUACAUUAGCAGUCAUUUACUACAUUCAGGUACAAGCUCCAUAUGAAUAUGACCAUUUUCAUUUCGGUUCAAAAAUCCCACAUAGUUAAUAAUAUAUACAUAUAUAUAACCAUAUCACCAUUUAAUCUUAACUUAUAGUGACCACUCAUCUAUAUGGCAUACACAUAAAUCAUUUAUCACAUAAUUUACUUUCUGCUCAGCAUCUUUGAUCAAAUCAACCCCGAAGAUUUUAUUUUCACUAAGCUUGGUCCAAAACAACGGUGUACGGCAUUUACGACCGUACAAAGCCUCGUAAGGUGCCAUCUUAAAGCUUGAUUGAAAACUAUUGUUGUAAGCGAAUUCAAUCAAAGGUAAAUACCGUUCCCAUGAACCACUAAACUCAAGGAUGCAACAUCUCAGCAUAUCCUCGAGUAUCUGAAUUAUCCGCUCGGAUUGACCAUCAGUCUGGGGAUGAAAAGCGGUGCUAAAAUGUAACUUGGUACCCAAUGCUUCUUGCAAUUUCUUCCAAAAUCGCGAUGUGAAUCUCGGAUCUCUAUUAGACAGAAUAGAAAUAGGUACUCCGUGUAACCUUACAAUCUGAGAAACAUACAAUUCAGCUAGCUUGUCAAGUGAAUAAUCGGUACGUACGAAAAUAAAAUGAGCUGACUUUGUCAGUCUAUCGACAACAACUCAGAUCGCAUCUUUCUUACUUAACGACAAUGGCAACCCAGAUACAAAAUCCAUCGUGACUCGAUCCCACUUCCAUUCAGGUAUCAUGAUCAGAUGAAGUAACCCUGAAGACACUUGAUGUUCCGGUUUCACUUGUUGACAUAUCAAACACUUCGAAACAAAGUCAGAAAUGUCUCGUUUCAUGGCAUGCCACCAAAACUUACGUUUUAAAUCAUUGUACAUUUUCGUACUACCCGGGUGGAUUGACAUUCGGCUACUAUGAGCCUCGCUCAAAAUCAUCGAAAUAAUUUUUGAAUUUCUUGGAACACACAAUCGACUUCUGAACCUUAAAUAAUCGUUGUCGUCUAUUUGAAGCUCUGAUUCCACAUUAGAAGCACAUUCAGCUCGUUUAGCAACCAAUUCAUCGUCGACUUUCUGAGAUUCAUGUAUUUGAUGAAUCAACAAUGGUUUGGCUUUCAAUUCUGCUACUAACAUAUUAUCAGAUGAAAUAGAUAGGUGUACAUUCAUUGCUCGUAAAGUAAACAGUGACUUACGACUUAAAGCAUCAGCAACCACGUUAGCCUUUCCCGGGUGAUAGUCAAUGACAAGCUCGUAAUCUUUCAACAACUCAAGCCAACGUCUUUGUCCCAGAUUCAAAUCUCUUUGAGUCAUCAAAUAUUUGAGGCUUUUGUGAUCCGAAUAUACAUGACACCUCUCUCCAAACAAGUAAUGUCACCAUAUUUUCAAAGCGAAUACGAUGGCAGGUAAUUCGAGAUCAUGGGUUGGAUAGUUUUUCUCAUGUGGCUUCAAUUGCCUCGACGUGUAAGCUGUAACUCGACCUUCUUGCAUCAAUACACAACCCAACCCAAGUAAGGAUGCAUCACUGUAAAUGACAAACUCUUUACCUGAUUCGGGCUGCACUAGCACUGGAGCUUCAGUCAAAUAAGUUUUUAGUUGAUCGAAACUUUUCUGACAUUUUUCUGACCAUUCAAACUUAAUAUCUUUCUGGAGUAGUUUCGUCAUUGGUGUGGCUAUCAUCGAGAAACCCUUUACAAACCGUCUGUAGUAACCAGCAAGUCCCAAAAAGCUCCGAACUUUAGUAGUAUUUCUCGGAGGCUUCCAAUCGAGUAUGGCUGAAAUUUUGCUCGGAUCAAUUCUAAUACCCGAUACGGAUACCACGCGUCCCAAAAAGCUAACUUCUCUCAACCAGAACUCACAUUUACUGAAUUUAUCAUAUAACUGCUUAUCCUGUAAAACCUGCAACACUAAUCUCAGGUGUUCAGCAUGUUCAGUUUCAUCAUGUGAAUAAAUUAAGAUAUCGUCAAUGAACACAACUACAAACCGAUCCAAAUACUGUCUAAAACUUCGAUUCAUCAAGUCUAUAAAUACUGCAGGGGCAUUAGUGAGCCCAAACGGCAUCACUAAGAACUCGUAGUGACCGUAUCUCGUUUUAAAAGCAGUUUUAGGUAUAUCUGAAUCUCGAACUCGCAACUGAUAGUAACCGAUCUUAAAUCGAUCUUUGAAAACACUGAGGCUCCCUUCAGUUGAUCGAAUAAAUUAUCAAUACGCGGUAACAGAUAUUUAUUUUUAAUUGUCACUUUAUUCAACUGACGAUAGUCGAUGCACAGUCUUAUGGUUCCGUCUUUCUUUUUUACAAACAAAACUGGUGCACCCCAAGGUGAGAAACUCAGUCGAGUGAAACCUCUAUCUGUCAACUCUUACAACUGAGCUUUCAAUUCCUUUAAUUCUGUUGGUGCCAUACGAUACGGAGCUAUCGAAAUCGGUGUAGUCCCAGGUACAAGUUCGAUGCCAAACUCUACCUCUCGAACAGGUGGUAACCCCGAUAAUCCUUCGAGAAAAACAUCUGGAUAUUCACAAACCACUGGUACUGAUUCAAGUUUCUUUUUUGUUUCUUUAUUAUCAAGUACGUAUGCAAGAUACACUUCACACCCCUUUCUCACAUAUUUUUGAGCCAACAUCGAGGAUUUAACUGCUGGUAACCCAUUCAUAUCAGUAUACUCAACUCAGAUUAUCUCAUCAUUUGCACAUCACAAAUCAAUAGUCUUUCUUUUGCAAUUCACAAUUGCAUCAUGGACAGUUAACCAAUCCAUACCGAGAAUAACAUCAAAUUCAUUAAAUGGUAGGAGCAUCAAAUCGGCCGGAAAAUAGGAACCUUGGAUUAUCAGGGAACAUUUCCUACACACUUUGUCGACUAACACAUAUUGACCCAAGGGAUUUGACACUCGUAUUACGAACUCAGUAGACUCAACAGGUAGAGUCUUACUGGAUGCUAAAGUCUCACAUACAUAAGAAUGAGUAGAACCAGGGUUAAUCAAAGCAAUCACAUCAGUAUCAAAGAGAGUGAAAGUACCGGUAAUAACAUCAGGCGAAGAAGCAUCCUCUCGUGCACGUAUAGCAUAAGCUCUAGCAGGAGCACGAGCCUCAGAUCUGGUGGUAACAUCUUUAGACCCUCUCUGACCGCCACUAGCAUUCCCCGUAUUCCUAGGUGGCCUACCUCGUGCUGUAGUAUUACUCGGUUUUCCGCUCUGAUUCACAUUUUGUUCAGAUAGUCUCGGGCAAUCUUUGAUAAAGUGGUCGGCUGACCAGCAUUUAUAACAGGAGCGGUCAUGAAAUCUACAACUCCCAGAAUGCCAUUUACCAUAAUACUUGCACUCUGUUCUGUCCCGAAGAUCGUAUCCAACACUAACAACCGAAGUGGCUCGCGUACUCGCUGGGGGUCGAUUGUGGUCUUAUCUGGAAAAGCCUGAAGUGUCUUUAGAUCGACUCGAAUCCUCCCUAAAUUUCUUCGAGGAUUGUUGAAAGGGCUUUUCCAAUGAUCUUUUACAAAAUUUUCCAGCUUCGACAUCAGCUUUUUUUUUCUCUACUAAGUUCUUCGGCUUUGCAAGCUUGUUCGACAAGUACUACGAACUCUCGUAUUUCAAGAAUGCCAACCAACAUCUUUAUAUCUUCAUUCAGCCCAUCUUCAAAACGUUUACACAUAAUAGCUUCAGACGAUACACAUUCCCGAGCAUAUCUACUGAGUCUGACAAACUUCCGUUCAUAAUCAGUAACUGACAUGGAACCCUAUUUAAGCUCAAGAAAUUCUUUUCGUUUUUGAUCAAUGAACCACUGACUGAUAUAUUUUUUUUGAAAUUCAGUUUGGAAGAACUUCUACGUCACCCGUUCUCUGGGUACAACAGAAACCAAUGUGUUCCACCAAUAGUAAGCAGAAUCACGUAGCAAGGAUAUUGCACAUUUCAGGCAUUCAUCGGGUGUCUAAGAUAGUUCAUCAAGUACUCGAACAGUAUUGUCUAACCAAAAUUCAGCCUGCUCGGCAUCAUCACUAUCUGUAGCUUUAAAUUCAGUAGCCCCGUGCUUUCUGAUUCUGUCAACCGGAGGCUUAUUUAACCUUGUUUGAUUAAUUACCAGAGGUAUUGUAGGUGUAGGGGGCGUAUUAUUCGGGAGUGGGGGUUGUGGGACAGCCGUAUUAGUUCGAAUUUAUUGGUUGAACCAAUUAUUCAUUACACUAUAAAAAGCCUAUCUAGCCUCGUCGUUCUGAUUGCUUGCAAUAGGUUGAGAGUCCAUCGGCGCUGUCCCAUGCGCGGGAGCAGGCGCUACGCUCUCAAUAUCAUCGGCUACCGCUCGAUUGGGAUCAAGAUCCAUUACUAUACGAAAACACAUUUUUAACUGUCAGAAUUCAUCAUACUACCGUAUUAAUACUGUAUGGCAUGUAUAGCUAGACUCAAACAUUUUAUGUUAAUCCUAGAAUCGACUAAACCGUAGCUCUGAUACCAAUAAAUGUAACACCCCUAGCCCGAGUCCGAUCACCGGUAUAGGCUAUGAGGUAUUACCAACCUAAACAUUUAAUUCCAAUCACAAUAUCAUCCCACUCAAGUAUAAAUCAAACUGAAUACGUACCAAUUUAUAAGUCAUAAGUGCCAUUUUCAUACGGCCAAGAUAUUUACAAUUUCAAAACAUAUAUUUUUCUUUUUAUAGUCCAACCUAUACAUGUCAUAUCGGGUCCAAAAUAGUACUGUACCAAAAAGAUCAAUAGUAUGAAGAACUGCUGACGAUCCCCGAGUCGAUAGUCAAAACCAACAAUCUAUAAAACAAAGAAAUAAGAGACAGAGUAAGCUCUCAAGGCUUAGAAAGUUUAAGCAAUUUCAAAUAGUUAAAACAUGUCAUAAAAAAAAACGAACAUUUAAAUGUCACAAAACUUAUAUUCAGAAUACAAUCUCUCGGCCAAAUAUACACAAGUAAACUACUAAUUUAAUUCACAUAUUUUCAUACAAUGACAGACAUCGACCGAGUAGGUCAUCCCCUUAUUUGUAGAUAUAAUAAUCAUCCACACAAUUAUAUUGUUAUUUGAUACCAACAUCUCCCCUUGAAAUCGAUUCACAUAUAGUUACUUACUACAUACCUGGGUAUUAUCAUGUAUCAUAUGCAAUCCAAAAUAGUUUACUUCGAACAUUCAAACUGAAAUCUCACUCGAAUCAACGGUGUUAAGCCUGCUAGGUUUCAAAACCCGAAUCCAAUUACUAGCAUAAAGCCUGGGGAACUAUAAACCCGAAUAUAAUACCAGCAUUAAGCCUGCGGGACUUAACCCGGAUAUAAUACCAGCAUUAAGCCUGCGGGAUUUAACCCGGAUAUAAUACCAGCAUUAAGCCUGCAGGACUUAACCCGGAUAUAAUACCAGCAUUAAGCCUAUUUAAUCAUAUACUCACACAUCCCAUUCAACUUACUACAUUAGCAGUCAUUUACUACAUUCAAGUACAAGCUCCAUAUGAAUAUGACCAUUUUCAUUUCGGUUCCAAAAUCCCACAUAGUUAAUAAUAUAUACAUAUAUAUAACCAUAUCACCAUUUAAUCUUAACUUAUAGUGACCACUCAUCUAUAUGGCAUACACAUAAAUCAUUUAUCACAUAAUUUACUUCAAGUAGGACCAAAGAUUACGAUUCAACUAAUGUAUUCAUACUAAGACAUCAUCAAUUAUAUAUUUUAAAGGUGACUACUUAAAACUUACCUCGGAUACUUUGAACAGUUGCGGAUAAUCUACUCGACUGCUUUCUCCUUUCCCCUUUUAGACCCCUUUUGGUCUUGAGCUUAAUUAAAACAAAUAGAUUUAUUUAAAUUAUUUACUCGCCUUUACUUCUUAGUUUAUUAGUCACAAUAAACAAUCAUAUAACUUCAAAACAUAAUAUAUUUUAUAGAAUAUGCUACGAUUAUUGUUAUUAUAUUAUGCCUAUUACAGCGACAUAUAUUUCGCAUACACAAACAAAAAUUCACAAAACUUACCAUGCUUUAUAUACACGAAUUUAACUGUAUGUAUCCAAAUGCCUUUACGUCUCAAGGUACAUACACAAGGCAUUCGUAUAUCUAUACCUAUGUGUGACUAUCACAAUUGAAUCGAUUACUAGUCUUAUGCACAACCUCGGAUUCACAUAAAUAAAUAUUUAACAUGUCAUUAACUUAUAAACCCCAUUCGGCCCUAAUUAAACAAACUUGACUUCUAUAUAAAGAUUUUCAUUCCAUGAUCAAUGUAGCAAUUUCAUAUUGGUUUUAUCUAUGCCACACAAUGACCGAUUCACUCCAUUACCUAAAUAACCGAUUCUAUCUUACUCCUAUAGGAUCACAACUUACUUACUAUAAUUUCUAAUCUUAUACCAUUAUUAUAAGAAAAACCGAAUGCUUUAACAUAACUAAACUAAAAUUUCCCAACCACAUCUUAAUUAGCCAUUUACUAUCCUUCAAAAAGCAUCUAAUACAAGGCAAUUAACAACUAUACAAUAUACCAAAUUUGCUAGCACCCAUAUUACUUAACCCAAUGUUAUAACCUCAAAUAUACAUUUUAUUCAUUAAAACAUUCGGCACCUCCCUCUAAACAUACACUAAUCUCAAGCUUCAAGUUAACAACAAUUUAUCACUCAUCAUAUCCUAAUAUACCAUCCCAUUUAAUGACAUAAAGAAAAAUAUCUACCAAGAGUUUCAAACUACUUGGCCGAAUAUCAAACCUCCAAACAACCAAAAAUUUAACCCAUGGAAUGAAUAGAAUUUGAACAAAUCACCUAAAUUAUACAUAAAUUUUCAAGAAUUUCAAAGUACUUACCUCUUUCUAAAUAUCCUCCAAGCAGAAAAUCAAAUAAAGAAUUUUUCUUCUUCCUCACCUCAAGUUACGGCAAUGGUGGAGUGAGGAUGAACCAACUUUGGUUUCUCCUCCCACUCACCCAAUAUUUUAUUAAUCUUUAUUCAAUAAUACAUUUUGUAAACUAAAAAUGUUGAUAGAAAAAUACAUAUUAUUAUUAAUCAAUAUCAUGGCCGGCCACUAUCCCAAAAAGGGUAUUUUGGCAUGCAAGUCCACAAUUUUUGAAUACAUGCAUUAAUGGACCACUUUUAAAAUUACUUAUCACAUUUCACAAUUGUCUCAUAUAAGUCCUAUUAAAUAAAUUUACAUUCAAAUGAACAAAUUAAAGAUUGAAAUUUUCACACAUGCAUGUUCAUGCACAAUAAGCAUAGAAAAUAACAGUUAAUUAUUUUUAUGACUCGGUUUUGUGGUCCCGAAACCACUUUUUGACUAGUGUCAAUUUAGGGCUGUCACAUGGAUAAGGUCUCUUAUUGGGUCUUUUCUGAAACUUAUUUCCCGUUAAAAGAGAAAGUAGCCAUAUAAAGGAGAGAGGAUAUCUCAGAAGAAAAGUGGAUGGAAAUUCUUCAAAACCUCAAAGAGGGGGAUAUAGAAUGGAGAGCAUUUUGGAUGGUUCCUGAUGAGAUCCUGUAUCGAUGUGGAAACUUUGAUUGGGUGCUAUCGGGUAUACUCUAUUACUUGCAUUAAGGCAAUAUAAGUCGAGGCAGUUCAUACCCAUGACCUAUGGACUUGCUCAGUGUGAAUUCUCUUUUAAAGGUGCCCACUAUAAGAAGAAAGUUCAGGAGCUAUCCGAUGCUUGGAAGCAAACUUAUGUGGAAACAGAUGAUGAGGCCAUAGAAUGUUCUUUUCGGUCAUUAGAAUUUGUAAAUGCGACCUUUGUUAUUGAAGGAAAUAAGGUCCCGACACCCAGAAUCUCUAAGAAUACAAGAAUGGGCCUACAACUGACAGUUGGUAAAAUAGCUUUGCCAGGGAAAGGUGUAACACCCCAAACUCGGCCUGGACGUUAUGACCGGAUCCUACGUGCCACAUCGAAGCGUUCAAAACAUUUUAUAACAUUGGUCUAGAAAAACUGGCUUAGUGGUUUAAAAGAUAAGUUCAUUAUAAGUUAAAGUGAAUGGAAGCUGUGCACCAGGUUAGAAAUCGAAAAAGAGGAGGUGAGUCCAUCGGACUGCUUAAGUACCAAGCUCCCUUCGGAUCCAAUCCUAGACAUGCACACCGCCAUUGCCACACUUUAACGUCGUGUAUAUUUCUAGGAAAGCAAUUUGAUUAUGUCCAUUUAAGAAAAAGUGAUUAAUUUUGAAAAACAUUUUCAUAGUGGAAGCUUUGCUUGUAGUCUUGUUAUUUUGAAAUCAAUUAUUGUUUUUGAAAACGCGCCCUAAAGCUAAUUAAUUUUGACAGUUAAAAAGAAAUCACAUCUAUCUUAAUAAAAUAUAUCAAAACCAUAAAAAUAAUAAAGCGGCCUUAUUACAAGUAAAAACCCAAAACCUCAACGCAAAUAAAAGAAUGUCCAGUUCACCAGAAAGAAACCAAAUUUACAGAAAUGUGUGGCCACUCCGAAUCCCUCACAGCUCCAAGCCCACUAUGGUUGGGGAUUACCUGCGUGGAUGAAAAUAAAGGAGUGAGUUUUGGGAAACUCAGUGUGUAAAUUAACCCAACCAUAGCCUAUAUCAGCUCAAACCAUAGAAACAAAAUAAAUUGGCCUUAGCCCAGAACAGAAUUCAGAAUAAAGCCCAUAGGCCCAUAACAGAUCAGAACAGAUAUUACAUGUUUAUGCAAAACCCAACCCAUAUCCAACCAUAUGCACCCCCACACCAACCUUUCACCAUGUAGGGAGAAUACUCAACCCAUCCAACCGCUACACGCCACAGAAAUAUGCAGCAUGGCUGCCAGAACAGAUAAUGUGACAGAGUCACCAAAAGCAGAUAAUCGUGGCAGAGCCACUAGAACAGAUAUAUGUGGCAAAGCCACCAGAUCAGAUAAUUGUGGCAUAGCCACCAGGACGCUUCCUCCAUAAUAUAACCCAUGUCCCCAUGCAACAGAUAUACAAUCAUGGCAUACAUCAUACAGAAUUAGAUCAUCAUGCUUUUCAGUCAAAAGUAACAUUAGGGGUAUAAUGGUAAUUUUGUACUUAAGGUAUAACAGUAAUUUUCCAUACAUAAGGGUAUUCUAGUAAUUUAACUAUUUUAGGGUUUUCAUGCAUAUCAUAGCCAUCUAUGUACUAACAGAAGCCCUUACCGAGCGUUCUUACCGAAUUGGGCCUAUUGGCCCAUUUUCUCGAUUUUGGCCUAUUAAGCCCAAAAACAUCGAAAUGCACGACAUUGUGCACUCUGCAGUCUUGUCACUUAAAUUUACCAUACACAUCAAACUAUUAACCUUACGAGCAUUCGCACACUCGCAAGUUCUCAAAAUACCAGCUUUUCGGCAUUUCGACUUUUCGACUUUGCCGAUCUAGUCUAUAAGAGGGUGUCAGUUACACACCUGAUUUGUGAUAUGCUGACGAGAUCCACACACGAACUGCCUACAAUUGAAUUCAUACCAUGUUAAUUUAACUAUCGAAAAUAAACUAUGUAUUAACCCCUUACCAUAUUCGGCCAAUAACACCUUAGGCACUAGCGAACCUACCUUUGCCGAAGUUAACGACUAGGUUUAGAUCCAGUUGUUCCACUUGUCCAAGCCCUUGAUUAGAAGCCUCUAGAUCACAGUAUUAUCAAAAUAAAAUAGUUAUCAUAACCCUUAGGGCUUCAAGCCCAAAUCGACAGCCUCCCUAGCCUUUAGGGGUUUCGGCUUCUUCUAAAACCUGAAAUAAAGAAUAGGUUCAAAGACUUACCACCGGUUCCUUCGAUCAAUGAUUCCAAUUAAUUCCUACUCGAUUCUGAUGCAGAUCUACCCCUUAAAUGAUAACAAAAGUCGAGCCUUUAGUGAUCUUAAAAUUUAGCUAUGUCCCUAUGGCUAUGCGUUUUCGGCUUUUUGUAAUAGUGGAGAAAAGAUGAGGAUUUGUAAUGGCUUCGUUGACAAAAACUUGGGGUUUAGAGGACUAGAGAAUCAGUCAAGAAGAUGAGGAAAAAUAAGAGGGUUUUGGCUAUAAGAAAUCGGCACAAAAGAAAUCAGGCUUUCGGGAUUUCAGCUUUUUAUGGCAAAUGGUUAUGAAGGUUUAGAAACGACUGAUAAAAGAUGGAGAUGUACAGGAUGAUAGGAAGAUUUGGCUAUAGAGCAAAAAAGAAAAAGAAGAGGAAAAAGUAGAUGGAGAGAAAGAAAAGAAAAGAAGAAGAAAAGAGGAUGGAAGAAGAGAGAAGAAACGAUGAAGGUCGAUCUCAAAAAUAAUAGUAGCUAUGAAUGGCCCCAACCUAAAUCGAUUAAUUACUUAAAAAUACCCAAGACUAAAUAAAUAAAUAAAGAAAAGAAAGACAACCCAUACACUAAAAUUUUAAGAGUUUUUCGGCAUUUAAUUACUUAUAGCCGAAUUGGUACUCUGCCAUAAAUUACUUCCCAAAUUCAAAUUCCAUACUUUUCUCCUAAAUUUCAGCCCCCAUCAAUUUAAAUCCCAUCCAACCGACUCAAGCCAAUGCUAGGAGAGUUUCGGUCAAACUGUGACUCUCCCCCACGUGAGCAGCAAAAUUCCCAACCUUACGCGCGAGAUGAAGCUCGAACCCCAGACCUCUAUCCGCCUUGCGCCCUUCUGCCUUCGCCCGAGCUGCUGGCCACUGCACCACGCUUUCUCCUUUAGGAAUGUAUGGUUACAAUUAAUUAUAAACCUUACCUGUUGAAGCUUUGGUCCGCCUAAAAAUAAAAGAGAAUUUCGCCUUCCACAUGACUUGAACCUGUGACCUUCUAACCCCACAUAAACGUUGCUUGCCGCUGCACCGAAGUUUCUUUCAUGACAUAAUCCUUUCACAUUUAAUUUUAACCUUUACCCACUUCAGUUCUGGCUUGCUAAAAAUAAAACAAAAUUCGCCUUUCCAUGGAAUAGAACCCAUAACCUCUCACAGGCCUAGCACGCUGCUGCCACUGUGCCAUUGACGCUCCUUGUGUUGAAGCAACCCCUCUUAACCCUUAUUCCAACCGCGAUCUGCAUACUAAAAAACAAAACUCCCAAAUUGCGCACGCCGUGCCUUGAACCCAGGCGCCUCCCAGCCUUCCUAGCGUGCUUAGCCACUGGGCCAGGUGCUCCCUUAUGCUAAAACUCAGUCCAAUAUAUUAAUAAUGCCUACUACCCAGAUUCUCUUAAGAGGCAAAAUUUAAGAAUUUCGGUAAAGCUAUAGGCCGAGCCCGGACUUUUUCCCACACUAUAAGCCCUUCAUAUUUUAUUUAAUUACUAAACUAAACGUAAUAAUAAUAAUAAUAAUUUAAUUAAAACAUCUUAAUUAUUCGGGCCAUCUUCUACCCGAACUCAGACUCAAGGCCCAAUACCUUUUAGGCCUAAUUUUUGGGGCGUUACAACUCUACCCUCUUUAAAAAAUUUCGUCCUCAAAACUUAAAACUAUUAACUAACCGUUUUACUCAAGUCAAACCACUAUGCUUUCACUGCGCACUCUGAAAAUAAUUCUUAGUACGACCCAGAACAUCUAAUUACCAAAGUAAAGAAACAUUUACCAAUUACACAUACAACUCGUAACACACACUUAAAUAGAAUAAGCUUGGCAAUCCUGAGCUCGAUGCUCCUUGGACCCACAUCUAAAGCAUGCUCCAGUCUUCCUAUGGCACUCACCCGGAUGACGCCCAUUGCAGUUCUUGCAGGUUGAAAAGUUUGGUCGCGUCUUAACAUGCUUCACAGAACGAGGCUCGGUCGUCUGAGAACUAGAAUCCUUCCUCUUCUUACACUCCAAGCACCCUAUUUGAAGCGUUUCCCUAAUUUCCUUAACCUUGGUCUUUAAUACUUCUUCUAUCACUUUUCUUAGUAACUUGGCCAAUGCCUCAGUCCCAAGCUCCGAGUUACCGCUACCCGAAAUUGGCAGACUUCGCUUACCCUCAGAAUCCAUAUCAACACUCUACAUUAUCACCAUGCAUAACAAUAACUACCAAGAUCUCGAUUCAAAAUUUUCAGUACUUAUUCAUAUGUUUUAUGCAGAGAUAGUAUUUUAAAGUUUCUAUUUUCUCAGAAUCAUUGCCUAGCUAUAGUCUCAGUAUUCUAGGGUUUUUAGUAUUGCCCUAGCUAUAAUGUCAUGAUAUGGUCUCCGUUCUAUCUACAGUAAUAUCUUAAUACAGUAUAGUAUGAGUAACAGAAACACUUACAGACUUGGGCCGGAGAUUCGGGUGCCACAUUCUAAAGAUCUAAAUUUUGAAAACUGAGUUUUUUUUGCAAUCUCUAUAAAAUUUUUAUUUUCAAAAAUCUUUGUUUUUGUAAACCCAUCCCACAACCGAGUUGUUGCAACUUGACUCUGAUACCACUAAAUGUAACACCCCAAACCCGGCCUGGACGUUAUGACCGGAUCUGACGUGCCACAUCGAAGCGUUCAAAACAUUUUAUAAUGUUGGUCUAGAAAAACUGGCUUAGUGGUUUAAAAGAUAAGUUCAUUAUAAGUUAAAAUGAAUGGUAGCUGUGCACCAGAUUGGAAACCGGAAAAGAGGAGGUGAGUCCAUCGGACUGCUUAAGUACCAAGCUCCCUUCGGAUCUAAUCCUAGACAUGCACACCGCCAUUGCCACACUUUAACGUCGUGUAUAUUUUUAGGAAAGCAAUUUGAUUAUGUCCGUUUAAGAAAAAGUGAUUAAUUUUGGAAAACAUUUUCAUAGCGAAAGCUUUGCUUGUAGUCUUGUUAUUUUGAAAUCAAUUAUUGUUUUUGAAAAUGUGCCCUAAAGCUAAUCAAUUUCGACAGUUAAAAAUAAAUCAUAUCUAUCUUGAUAAAAUAUAUCAAAACCAUAAAAAUAAUAAAGCUGCCUUAUUACAAGUAAAAACCCAAAACCUCAACACAAAUAAAAGGAUGUCCAGUUCACCAGAAAGAAACCAAAUUUGCAGAAACAUGUGGCCACUCCGAAUCCCUCACAGCUCCAAGCCACUAUGGUUGGGGAUUACCUGCGUGGAUGAAAAUAAAGGGGUGAGACACCUUUUUCUUUUCUUUUCCUUUUCUCUUAUUUCUUUCCUCUUUUUUUUCUUCAUUUCCUAUCUUUCCCUCUUUCUCUCUUGAAUAAAUUUUGCUAUCACUACUUUAUUUUAGUCAUUUUUAAUAUUUUUGAAUUUUUAAUCCUUAUUAGAUGAUAAUCAUUAAAUUUAUUAAAUUAAAUUCUUUUAUUUUUAAAACUUAAUGCAGCAAACAUAUUAUCAAAUAGGAAACAAGAAACUAUAAGCUUUUCUUGAGAAAUAAAAUUUAUUCUUAAAAAUAAAUUAUCGUUAUUUUUCAACAGAACAACAAUGCUCUUAAAGUUGUGUAGAUAAAUUAGCUCAUAAUAUCUAUUUAUAGAGAAAUAAUACAAAAAUUCAGUUCAAAUAUUUUUAAUUAAAUAAUAAAAUUUCAAUAGAAAAUACAAAUUCUACUCUAAGUUGAAUGCAAAGAGGCAGAGCAUCUCUAGGGUAUCUAGGAUUUGUCACUCCUCACAUUAAAACUAGGUUUUAUUGUCCAUUUUGUGUAUUCAGUACAAUUAUAUGUUUUAUCUAAAAUUUUAUCCUACACUUAUAUAAUUUAUCCAAUCGAAUAACUAUUUUUUAUUUUCUAAGAUAUUAAUUAAUUUAAUUAUAAAGAACUUAUAAAUUUAUUAUCAACAACUGGUGCUCAAUAAUAUUAUAAUAUUGGUAAAAGAACUAGUAACUAUUUCGUAACACUAAUUCAUGAAUUAUGACAAAAGAAUAUGAUAUGAUGAUAUGUAGAAAAUUUGGAAGUAGUUGGAAUGGAUUAUAUUUUGUAGUGUUUGAGAGGAUUUUGAGAAAAUUUUAUUUUUGAAUUUGUGAUUUCUACACGUGUUUAGAUAACAAGAUCUCAACACCUAUAGAUAUUGGGGUUUUUUUUUUAAGAAUCUGACACCUAUGAUAAUCAAACUAAAAACGAAAUUAAACUAAAUAGGUUGUUGUGUUUCACUUGGAUGUUUGCCUCUCGAAUGAUUUUGAGAGUACUUUCAAUCAAGUGUUUGCGUGCUUUUUACUUUGUAUUUUUUCACUCUUCUACAGACUUUUUCAGAAAGUUAAUCUUGAUUGUAAGUAAAGAUUUUAGGUGAGUGAUUGUAAUAAAUUAGAUUCAUUGUUAGGUUGUAAUUAAGGGUAAAUUAACUUUAACUAAUAAGUGAUCCGAAUCAAUUAUUGAAUAAAAUCAUACGAAUUGUGUCAAUUAAUAUUGCAUAUUCAUUUUUCUUUUCGGUUAUGAAAUUGUGAAGUUACAACUUGUAUUAGAAACACCGGUGUCGAAACCAUUUUUUUAAAAAUUGAGUUUUGGAAAAUGGAAAUCGACUUUAAGAAAAACGAAAACGGGAGUCGCCACCAAUCUUUUUAGGUGUGAUUGGAUCACCUUUAAAACAUUUUGUUUUAAAUCAUUAGUUUUGGUCUGCGCAAUAAAAGAACGGGUUCGGGAGUCGGUUACGUACGAGGAAGGAUUAGCACCCUCGUAACGCCCAAAAUUGGUACCUAAUUAAUUAUCAAAUCUCUUUAAGGUCGGAAGUUAAAAGUUUUAAGAUGCAAUCCUCUUUAAAAUAUUGUGAUUUUUUUUUAAAAAAUUGGGGUUCGCUUGUAUCAAAAUAUUGAUAUAAGUUAGCCAUUUUGGAAAUCCCUAUCUCGAAACGACAAAACGCCACAUCCAGUAAGUUAGGACAUAACGCUUUGAAAUUCCAAGACAGUUGCUUGUAUUUUGAAAAUCUUAAAAACUUAGAAGGGUAUUAGACUAUUCGAACUCAAUGAGAAAAAUUGCAAUCCAAUAAAUUAGGGCACUACUUUUCUCGAAGCUUCCAAACACCAAGCAUUGCCUUUUUAUUUUUUGAAAACUUUGAAGUCUCGUUUUUUAAAAUCAAUGCAUGAAGGAGCAUAUUAACAUUAUAAAUCAUGCAUGAUAACAUAGCAUCGUGAUAGGUAAAUAAAGUAUGCAUUUAAACAAGAUGAUAGCAUUAAUAUAAAAAUCAUGCAUUAGAUACAUACAUAUAAAAAUAAAUAUAGCAAAUCUUAACAACAUACGUACAAAGAUACAUAUAGCAUAUAUUGAAAAUGAAUAAGCAAAACAUACAAACAUACAAAGUAAUAAUUAAAAUGACUGAUACACAAAUUAAUAAAAAAGGCAGUAUAGUAUCAAUAUACACAUUCAUAAAAUAUAACAUCAAAUUAUAAAAUAACAUUUAAUACCUAAAUGAUAUAUAUAAAAAAUAUAUAAAAGGAUUGGUAUAUAUAAAAUAUAAAAUAAAGUGAGCAAAUGUUAACAAAAUAUACAUAUAAUACAAAUAAAAUAUGAUGUUUAAUAAUAAUUUCAAAAUAGUAUUUAAUAUUCAAUAUGUAAUACAUAAUAACAAAAAUUAUAAAAGAAUAAUAAAAAUAUAUUGUUUUUUUAGAACAAAACAAAAAAAUAAAAGUAUGUAAAGGAAUUUAUAAAAUAAUUAUAUAAUAUAUAAAAGUAUCAAAUUUAAAAUAAAAUAGCACUUAAUAAAUGAAUAAAUAAUUAACAAUGAAAUAUGUAUAUGACAUGAGUUAAAAAUAUGAUUUAAUAAUAAUAAUUUACAAAUUUACAAAUUAUAAAUAAUAUAAUAAGUAAUAAAAUAUAAGGAAAUAUAAUGUAAGAUAAUAAUUAUAUCAUAAAUAUUUUGCAUAUAAAAAUAUGGUAAAAUAAUUAAUAUAUGAUAUAUGACAUAAAAAAUAUUUGUAUAAUAAAAUAUAAAGAUAUAUAAGUAAAAUAAAUAUUAUAAGAAAUAUCAAAUAAUAUAACAUAGUAUGUAAUAGAAAUACAUAAAUAAUUAUAAUGAAAUAUAAUAUAGUGUAUGCAUAAUAUUAAUAACAAUGUGACAUAUAUAUACAAAAAUAUAAUUAAAUAUAAAAAACAAAAAGAACAACAUAUAAUGGAAUUUAUAUAUAUACAUAUAUCAAUAAUAUAAACAAAAUAGUAUACUACUAAAUAUAAUUAAUAUUUAUAAACACAUAUACAUAAGGUAUCCUAAAUAAAAUAGAUUAAGGGUAUAUAAGGAUGAAAAUUAAAAAUAAUUAGAAAAUUAGGGCUAAUUCGCGAAACAAUAAAAAUUCUUGGCAUGAUUGAAUUUCAUAUUUAAAAGAGGGACUCAUUAGGCUAUUUGCCCUAAUCCCAAAACGACACCGUUUCCUUUAAUACGAUUGCAAAUCAUUGGAAGGGCCGAAUUGAAACAGAAUUGAAACAUUGAAGCCAAAUUAAAAAAUAAAUAAAAUGAAAUUAAAAGUAUGAAAAUUGCGAGAGGACUAACUGGGUAAUUAAUCCAUCUUACGAAAACAAGCAGAUCCUCCCGGGGUAAUCGGGUCAACGCGCGAAUCCUGGGGUUACAAAACGUCGCCGUUUCGUUCAAGCUAUAUAAGCUACCUUCUCAGUUUAAAAAUCAUUUGAACUCUGAUUUAUAAAAAAAAACUAAGAAAUUCUCUCUGAAAGAGAGAGAGAAAGGGAGCUCCAGACUCCGGCCCUCGCAAACCAGGCUCCGGCCCACGCGCCCACGCGCCGCCCUAAGGGCCACCGUAUUCAGAGAUCGAAGAGUUCGAAAACUCUCGUCUCUUCAGAUCCAAAAACAGGUAGUUCUUUUCCUUCAAAAUACCCUUACUAUUUUGCUAACAGUUCAUAUAUGUGCUAAAAAAUAAAGAAUAAGUCACUCGGUUAUCACCUUUGAAACUGUUUGUUCUUUUUUUUAUUUCUAUAUUCCUGUUUGUAUAGAGGGUUACAAAGGGCUUUUUAUAGCCAUUGUUUAUUACAAAAACUGGGAAAGAAAUCGAAAAUUUCUUUCUAUUUCUUGCUCACUGUGUCUUUGACCGUGAUCUGUUGAGAUUUUUAGUUUCCUUUUCUUGCUCUAUGUAUCUGCUGUGUUUCCUUUUCUUGCAGGUAUCCCGAUGAUCUCGGCGUUAACGACGGUACCAAGGCUAGAGGGGAAGCCUGAGAUCACGGUGCUGGACGGACGCCUUGAUGGCGCGUCAGUGUGCAUUGAUGGCCUCGAUCUGGGGAGUUGCACCGACGCUCCCCGAAGCUUCCAGAAGCUGUUGCGGCGCGAGGGGAAAGAGCUAGGGUUGAAAACCCUAGCUGAUAAUUUUGGGUUUUUUGGGCCUCUGUUAUUUGGGUCUUAGUUUAGGUUUGGGCUUCGAGUGUAUUUGGGCUAAGGUUGUAAUUGUAAUGGGUAUGGGUUAACGAGUCAAUGUAAAUGGACUUUUAUAUGGACAAUUAUUUAUUUAUUUAAUGGGUUUACAGCCCGGUCAAAUUUGGGCUACUACAACCGGUUGAGACAACUAAUUGGAACAACCAACAAACAUAUGAUUUUUUUUUUCAAAAUGUUUAAAGUUUUUAUAGUUUUGCAAAUGAAAUUUCUUAAUUGGAAUUCAACUAUAAAUAAGAAGACAUAAAAUUUAUAAAAUUGUUUAGUAUUAAAUGUUUUUUUGCACAACUCACGCACCGCUAAUAAAAGAAAAUCACCGCCACAUAUGCAUGCAUCCGUGAUAGGCAAUCACUGUGAUUCCAACCCACAAUGUGGAUAUAGGGUGAUUGCCCUUGGCUAAUAAACUAAAUAUUAGGGUUCGGUUAAUUAGUAAAUGCUAAUUCUAUUAAAAUUUAAAUUCUUUAAUUUUUAAUAUUAUAUAAAUUAAAUUUAUUUAUUUAAUAUUUAGACUAAUUUGAUCUAAUCAUAAUGAAUUUACUUGCCAUAUAAUAACAUGGCCAGAAGUACAAAGGAACAGAGAAAUCAUCAGAAAAGCACAAAUUUAUUAAUUUAAAUUUCUUUAUAUAAUAUAUGCCCGAGGAAGGAAGCCUUUUAGUUUAGGACACUGCAAAUUGUAGGAUAUGCUAUAUAUAGACCAAUUAAUUUAUUUAGAUACAGGCAAUAUGCAAAGGGUAAGUAAAAGUAAGGAUGGCAUGAGUUUCAGAAUCCACCGCCUCGCGCGCCAGCACCUUCGCUUCCUCUUCCGUUAUAAACUAGCAGGUAUAGCAAGGGUAUGUUGGUGGAUAUUCUUGAUCAGUUUGGCCCCCUCCAAAUUUGGCAGCUUCUAGCUCAGCCUUUGUUUUUUGGGUAGCCGCCUUACCUGCAAAACUCGCAGCAUUAUCAACAUUCAUGUUAGGAUACAUUUCAAUUCAUGAAAUAUAAAUGAGAGGAGAUGAUAACUAAUUAAUUAAUUAAAAAGCCAUGUUGGCUGCUGACCGUUGUUUGUUUCAGUAAGGUCUCUAGCUGCCACUUCCGAAGAAAUGGAAAGAACAAUCACAGAUAAAACAGCAAGGAUGAGAAAACUCUUGCAAACCGAACCCAUUUUUGAUUUUUGUUUUUUAAAUCAAAGUGAACAAUCCUGGAUAAAAGUGUUUGGAGAGUUAAGAAUGCUUAAACAAAGGCAAUCUACGUCUCUAUUUAUACGCCCCAAUCAUCAACUUAUAUGCAUAGAUAAGAAAAUGUGUGAGCGUAAUUAAACAUAAAGAUUUGCCUGUCGACCACGCAAUGCAGCUGGCAGUUGAAGAGUCGCCAAACUAUUCAACUUGGACUUUGGAAAGUGAUUGGACCAAAAAGUGGAAGUAGCAAAGUUUAUGCCUCUCACUAACGUAACUCUACAUGAAUAUUAUUAAAUCACGAUUUGUGAUGGAUGUGGAAAUGCUCUCAUCUGAAAUUGCUAGUCACAAAACCGGUGAACCUCUAACAUCCGGGAUAGGCUACCAAGAAAAUGAGAUUGAGGGAGGAUGAUCCGCCAAAAACCGUGGUGGUUUAUGAUGGACCUCGUAUGUCCUUUCAACAUAAACUAGUGAAUGGAGAGAUAUAUGUUCUCGCAGGUUUCGAGCAUGGUAUCUGACUGUUGGAGGACGAUAUCAAAAAAAGAUACUAUGAAGGGUGUCCCAUUGAUACGAUUCUCGGAUCGCCUCCACUUCUUGAUAGAAAAAAAAGUGUGAUCAAGACGGUGAUUUUUUUUAAAAAAAAUUGUCACAAAAUAGGUUUUAAUGCUCUUUAAAAUAAUACUUUCGUCUGAUGGAAGCCAUCCUUUAACUUUCAAUUAAUGAAUUUGGAGAACAACUACAUGGCAAAAUUUGCUCCGAUUGAGGAUUAUAAAGUGCUUGCAGGCGGGCUGUGAGUAAUAUUUGAGUAUUGUAUGACGGUUCAGACAUCAUAGUUUCCCGUAUCUAAAGACCGGUGGAAUGGAGAGAUCUACAAGACUUAGGUAACUCAAUAUUAAAUCAUGAUUUGUGUAUUUGUAUACUACUUAUAUAUUUUAUCAUAGGUUAAAUACGCUUUUUAAGUCCUUAUGCUUUUAUUUUGUGGAAUAUAAUUCCUCAUUUUUUUAUUUUAAAAAAUUUAGUCUAUUUAUUUUUUAAAUUUAAAAAUGUAAAUUCAGCCGUUAAUAAUGUUAAGAAUUUUUUAUUAAAUUUAAGUUUUUUAUAAAGUUAUUUUUUAUUGUAUGACUAUUAAUUUUAUUCUAUUUUAAAAUAUUACACGAACAAAUUUAAUAAAAACAAUUUAAUAAAAUUAACAAUUUAAUCCGAAAUUUUUUAAAAAAUAGAAACUAAAAGUAUUUUGAAAACUUGGUGGAUGGAAUGGAAAAAGGAGAAACAGAAAGAAUAUAAUUUUAAGAGCUCCUUGGUACAAUAAAAAAUGGAAUGAAAGAAAAUGAAAGGGAUGAGACUUCUUUCGCACCAUUUGUCCAAAUUGAGGGAAAGAAAAGUUUUAAAUUAUGUGAUUUUAAGUAUAACAUAUAAAAUUGCUCUCGAUUAAAGUAAAAUACCUAAUUUAAUGGGAGGGAUUCACUAAUAUUUAGGGUAAAAUUUAGGUAGUUUUACAUUAUAUAUUUAUAUUUUUUUUUAUGAUUAGUAUUUUAGUAAUUUAAUUAUUGAACUUAUCAAUACAAUAAUAUUUGUCAUACAUGUAAAAUUUUUAAUUAAUCUGAUAUCUCUAUCAUAUCGAUCUAAAAUAUUAUCUAUAUCUAUAUAUUUAAUGGUAGAAAGUUUUUGACAUAAAAUAAAUAACUAGAAAAUUUUAAAUUUGCCAAACUUGUCAUGCAUGAUUUACAUGAAUUGAACAUGAAAUACAACGGUUGAAUUAUUAAAGUAGUGAUCAUAUAAAAAUUACAAAAAUAUAUAAAACCACUUAAAUUUUACACCUAUUUAAAUUGCUAAUUACAAAACUUGGUAUUUCACUUGGAUGUGAUGGCUCUUGAAAAUUUACUAAUUUUUAUAUUUAGUGAAAUACAACCAACAUUUGAAAUUUGUAUCAUAUUUAAAAUUUUGAAAUUGAAAAUUAUAAUAAAUUAAUAAUACUAAUCUGCAUUCUCAUGCCAUUCAUAGAUUUAAUUGUUUAUAUAACUACUUUUUUUUUUUGGUUUAGUCAAUUGAUUACAAGAUAAGGCAUUGGGAUCAACCAACCCAACCAGUUCAACAAGUAAAACAACAAUAGCGAAACAAUGCCAAAACAUGAAAGAGUACAACAAUAAUCCCCCAACAAUGAAACCAAAAUGCUCCACACAAAAUUAACAACGAGAAACCAACAAAAAAUGAAUCCACCAUUGCACCAAUUGCUUGACAUGUGAUUUCGAUUAGUACCUUAGCCACAACCAAAAAUUACCUCCCAAAAACAAGAACAAGCUCCCAAAAUGACCACAAUUGAAUGCGACAAACAAGCAACCAAUCNNNNNNNNNNNNNNNNNNNNNNNNNNNNNNNNNNNNNNNNNNNNNNNNNNNNNNNNNNNNNNNNNNNNNNNNNNNNNNNNNNNNNNNNNNNNNNNNNNNNNNNNNNNNNNNNNNNNNNNNNNNNNNNNNNNNNNNNNNNNNNNNNNNNNNNNNNNNNNNNNNNNNNNNNNNNNNNNNNNNNNNNNNNNNNNNNNNNNNNNNNNNNNNNNNNNNNNNNNNNNNNNNNNNNNNNNNNNNNNNNNNNNNNNNNNNNNNNNNNNNNNNNNNNNNNNNNNNNNNNNNNNNNNNNNNNNNNNNNNNNNNNNNNNNNNNNNNNNNNNNNNNNNNNNNNNNNNNNNNNNNNNNNNNNNNNNNNNNNNNNNNNNNNNNNNNNNNNNNNNNNNNNNNNNNNNNNNNNNNNNNNNNNNNNNNNNNNNNNNNNNNNNNNNNNNNNNNNNNNNNNNNNNNNNNNNNNNNNNNNNNNNNNNNNNNNNNNNNNNNNNNNNNNNNNNNNNNNNNNNCAGACUCCGGCCCUCGCAAACCAGGCUCCGCCCACGCGCCACGCGCCGCCCUAAGGGCCACCGUAUUCAGAGAUCGAAGAGUUCGAAAAACUCUCGUCUCUUCAGAUCCAAAAACAGGUAGUUCUUUUCCUUCAAAAUACCCUUACUAUUUGCUAACAGUUCAUAUAUGUGCUAAAAAAUAAAGAAUAAGUCACUCGGUUAUCACCUUGAAACUGUUUGUUCUUUUUUUUAUUUCUAUAUUCCUGUUUGUAUAGAGGGUUACAAAGGGCUUUUUAUAGCCAUGUUUAUUACAAAAACUGGGAAAGAAAUCGAAAAUUUCUUUCUAUUUCUUGCUCACUGUGUCUUUGACCGUGAUCUGUUGAGAUUUUUAGUUUCCUUUUCUUGCUCUAUGUAUCUGCUGUGUUUCCUUUUCUUGCAGGUAUCCCGAUGAUCUCGGCGUUAACGACGGUACCAAGGCUAGAGGGGAAGCCUGAGAUCACGGUGCUGGACGGACGCCUUGAUGGCGCGUCAGUGUGCAUUGAUGGCCUCGAUCUGGGGAGUUGCACCGACGCUCCCCGAAGCUUCCAGAAGCUGUUGCGGCGCGAGGGGAAAGAGCUAGGGUUGAAAACCCUAGCUGAUAAUUUUGGGUUUUUUGGGCCUCUGUUAUUUGGGUCUUAGUUUAGGUUUGGGCUUCGAGUGUAUUUGGGCUAAGGUUGUAAUUGUAAUGGGUAUGGGUUAACGAGUCAAUGUAAAUGGACUUUUAUAUGGACAAUUAUUUAUUUAUUUAAUGGGUUUUACAGCCCGGUCAAAUUUGGGCUACUACAACCGGUUGAGACAACUAAUUGGAACAACCAACAAACAUAUGAUUUUUUUUUCAAAAUGUUUAAAGUUUUUAUAGUUUUGCAAAUGAAAUUUCUUAAUUGGAAUUCAACUAUAAAUAAGAAGACAUAAAAUUUAUAAAAUUGUUUAGUAUUAAAUGUUUUUUUGCACAACUCACGCACCGCUAAUAAAAGAAAAUCACCGCCACAUAUGCAUGCAUCCGUGAUAGGCAAUCACUGUGAUUCCAACCCACAAUGUGGAUAUAGGGUGAUUGCCCUUGGCUAAUAAACUAAAUAUUAGGGUUCGGUUAAUUAGUAAAUGCUAAUUCUAUUAAAAUUUAAAUUCUUUAAUUUUUAAUAUUAUAUAAAUUAAAUUUAUUUAUUUAAUAUUUAGACUAAUUUGAUCUAAUCAUAAUGAAUUUACUUGCCAUAUAAUAACAUGGCCAGAAGUACAAAGGAACAGAGAAAUCAUCAGAAAAGCACAAUUUAUUAAUUUAAAUUUCUUUAUAUAAUAUAUGCCCGAGGAAGGAAGCCUUUUAGUUUAGGACACUGCAAAUUGUAGGAUAUGCUAUAUAUAGACCAAUUAAUUUAUUUAGAUACAGGCAAUAUGCAAAGGGUAAGUAAAAGUAAGGAUGGCAUGAGUUUCAGAAUCCACCGCCUCGCGCGCCAGCACCUUCGCUUCCUCUUCCGUUAUAAACUAGCAGGUAUAGCAAGGGUAUGUUGGUGGAUAUUCUUGAUCAGUUUGGCCCCCUCCAAAUUUGGCAGCUUCUAGCUCAGCCUUUGUUUUUUGGGUAGCCGCCUUACCUGCAAAACUCGCAGCAUUAUCAACAUUCAUGUUAGGAUACAUUUCAAUUCAUGAAAUAUAAAUGAGAGGAGAUGAUAACUAAUUAAUUAAUUAAAAAGCCAUGUUGGCUGCUGACCGUUGUUUGUUUCAGUAAGGUCUCUAGCUGCCACUUCCGAAGAAAUGGAAAGAACAAUCACAGAUAAAACAGCAAGGAUGAGAAAACUCUUGCAAACCGAACCCAUUUUUGAUUUUUGUUUUUUAAAUCAAAGUGAACAAUCCUGGAUAAAAGUGUUUGGAGAGUUAAGAAUGCUUAAACAAAGGCAAUCUAC
rnacentral:lncRNA from 1 species